rnacentral:lncRNA from 1 species
AUACUUUUUAGAUUAAAAUAAAUAAAAAUUAUAUGUGUUAAGCAAUUUGAAAACAAAACAACUAUUGUAGUUGACAAUUUAGAGGUUUUACAAAAUCACUUGUUUGUCAAAAAAAUAUACACCAUCUAUCCCUCUCAUUUCUUUACGUUACUUUUUGGCACGCUUUUUAGAAUUCAUUUAAAGUCUAAUUUCAUAAUAUAUUUUUUUUCCUGAAUAAAAAUUUGAUCUUCAAAUUUCUAUUACAGAAAGAAAAUUUGAAAAAAAUAUAUGAAACUAUGAUUUAUAUCAGCCCUAAAAUGCGUGCAAAGGGUGGGAGUAUAUAACAUUAACAAAUAACUAUACAGCAAAGAUCAUGAAUAACGCAUGCUCAGUACAAUUUAACACACGAGUAUACUUUAUUAUAUGAAUACAUAAAACCAUUGAUAAAUAUUUGUACUAGGACUUUUGCCCGGCUACCGCCGGUAUAUUCUUACUCAGGAGUACUGUGAAAAAGUCGAAUGGAAAUUUUUCAAACAAAAGGUCCACACAAAAGUCUAUGCUAAAGUGCUAUCAUAAGUCCCUAACAAUUUUUUUUUAAGGGUUUGUCUAGUGUGUGCCCAUGGGCACAUUUUAAGCACAAAUUUUUAUAGGUUUGGGGGAUUUUGAUUGGUGUGGUUGUUGCAUUUGCAGGGGGGUCCACCAUUAUUAAUAAACAACAACCAAUCAAAAUGAGUCAAACUUGUGGAAUUUAGUGUUUAGUGUGUGCCCAUGGGCACACACUAGAAAAACCGUUUUUUUAAUAUUGCAUAGGUAUACGAAACACAGUGAGCAUUCUUAUUUAACCAAUUGGGCCGAAGCAUAACAACUGGGCUAACGCCGGCAUAUUCUUUGGCAGGGCUAAUAUGAAAGAGCUUGGGGGAAAUUGCUUAAACAAAAGGUUUACAUGGAUGCUUUUAAAUACAGCACAUAAUAAUUUCUUUAAUAAUACGAUGUAGGGACAUAGCAAUAAGUAAAUUAUACAAAUUUUGCCCAUACAUUACUUGGCUGCUCUUAAGAGGAAACAUGUUACUCUUUACGUUUUAUAUUAUUUGAUGUUUUGAUUUAUCAUACCAAAAAUCCGACGUUGAUUGGAUGAUAAAAAUUAUUAUUUUUUAUUGAAUUUUUUGUGAAUUAAAAUAUUAAUUAUAUAUUUUUAUUCGGAUAAAAAAAUUUAACAAAUAAUAUUUUUAAAUACCGGAUCAAAUCACUUAAAACUACAUGCCCAAAGUGUUAAAUAUUAAAAAAGAGAGGGAAUAACCCAUUAAAAUGUAUUUGGAACAAAAAUAUAUAGUAAAGAAAAUUGUAUGUAUUAUUAUAUUUAAAACUGUCAAAAUCUAAUCAAUCCAUUAUUAGGUAGAAAUAUUUUUAAAGUAAAAUAUCCACCUAUGAGUUUUGUUGCAUGAGAAAUACCAUAUUUCUUAAUUAAAAUGAAUUCGAAGUCUGGAGCACUUCUUCACACACCAUUUCAAGCCGGUAGUCGUUGGUCUCAACUCUCAAAGAAGAAUUAUAAAACUGAAUAGAGAAAUGGUUAACCUGAAUCGUGGAAUAUCAUUUAAAUACUGAAUUAUGUCUGAGGUUGUGAUUUUUAAUAUUUAUUUUAUUUUAGAACUAACAACUCGUUCACAGUAGUAUUAUUAGUUCUUACUGUCCCAAAAUUAUAUAUAAUAAAUGAAAAUAAAUAAUUUUUUGAGUAAAAACUUAAUUAAUAGUAAUCAGGACUUUUGUUUUUAAAAAAAAUAGUAAUCACGACUUUAAAAAAUAUGCAGCGGGUACUACAAAAAUGUGUACAGCGGCCUAUUAUUUAAAUGAGUCUUGUCAAAGGAACCAACUCCUCUGUAACUGACUAUCCAAUAUGAAAAUAACCACUAUCCACCAACUUACUAAUUUUUAUUACUCAAAUAUUAAUCUCUAAUCAGUGAUAAAUUCAGUUGUUUAGUUCAAUAUAUGUUAAUAUAAGUACAUCUUUAUCUUAAAUGGCCUGAUGCACGAUUGAAAAUCAUUGACUUACGUUAUGCUUUACGUUCAAAUUGUAAAAUUGUUCAUGACUUUAAAUAUAAAAAACUUUCAAAACUUUAGAGUCGUAUAGUCAGUGGCGGAACCAGGAUUAAUUUCGACCCCGGGCUAAACUAUUAUUAAAAUUUCAGAAAAAAAAUUAAAAGUAAAUAUGUAUACCUUAAUUGGUUAAGUGGUGACAUCUUUACUGUCUUUUUUUUAGGAAGGAAUGGAUGACAACUAAAUUUUAUGAUUUUGCAUAUUUUGAUAGCGUUGUAAGAUAACUUCAUAGCCUAUGUCUUUAAAUAUGACCUUCUCGAUGUAAACCACCAUGUUAAGUGGGCUAUUAUUUUUAUAUAUAUAAUCAUUUUUAAAUUUGUCCCCGGGCUAAAAAGUUAAAAAUAAAUAAAUUAUACUUAUUAUUUUUUUCUCAGCCCGGGCUGGCGCCGGGGCUAGCCCCCCGGUUCCGCCCCUGCGUAUAGUGCAAUUCUAUAUUUUCCCUAUUACAGCUUUUCUUUUAUACAUGUGUCCGAUGUAUAAUACUAACCAAUAGCUAGACAUAGGGCCUGGAGUUAAUGCGGAAGAAAAUAUGUGAUACACUCGAUCAGUUUGAACAACUACAAUCACUACACAACAUCUUUAACUGACAUGUUGCGGAAAACUUUUAUCUUCUGCAAUGAGUAUAAAGUUGAAAUUAAAGCAACUCAUUUGUAAAAAUAUAUUACAACAUAAUUGUUGAGUCUGACUUUCUUCCUGGUUAAAAAUUAUUUAAAAUCAAGUAAUCCGAAACCUAAAACUGCUUUUGAACUGAUAUACAUGAAAUAUCUGGUAUAACUAAACAACACGGCAGAACCGAGAAAGACCCCAAGCUUGCUUUCUUUUCAUUUCAAAAACAGGCAGACUUUGUAAUAUUAAGUCUACACACCACUUCAGAUGGAAUUGUGGGUUGAACUGUUCACAACUCAUUACUCAAAAACGUCUUCCACUCCCACAAAGUAAUACUUCCUCCGUCCCCCUCAAUUGUUUACAUUGGAGGGGGACAUGAAGACCAAGACAAUGUAUGAAAAAUGAGUAAAGUUAGAUGAAAAGUGGGUAAAGUGGUGGGACCUAUCAAUAUUUAAUACUCCCUCUGUCCCAUUUUAACUGAUGUUUGACUUUUUAACACGUAUAUUGAGGUGUAAAAAGACAAUGUCUACGCUUAAUAAAAAAAUUCAAUUCUUAUAUCAAAUAAAAGUUUAGAUUCUAAAUUUUUAUUUGAUAUAAAUUUUAUAAAGAAUAAUUAUAUUUAGAUGUGAUUUUUUUAACACCUUAAAAUACGUGUAAAAAAGUCAAAAGCAGUUAAAAUGGGACGGAGGGAGUAAUAGAUUUGAGAUAGUGGAGGAAAGUAGUGGGUGUAAUAGUAGUUUUUAUUGUUAAAUAUGAGAUAGUAGUGGAAGAUAGUGGGUGUAAUGAUGAGAAAAACUUACUAUUUAUGAUAAUGUAAAGAAAUGAGAGGGCCAUCCCAAAAUAGUAACGGUAAACAAAUAAGAGGGACAGUAACAACAUUAAUAGUGCUUUGUAUAAUGAGUACAAAAGAAAAGUUUAACAACGUCGCACAUCAAGCAUUUACAUUGUGAUGUGUUAAUACCUCACUUUUCAAACAUGAUUCAAACUGACUUAAUACAAUAAAAAACAUAGAAUAGAAACAGAAGACAGAGUACAUGAAGACUCCAAAUUUGGUAUUUUUUCUUUUCAAAUUCAAUGGUCUAUUAUUGAAUGUACAUACCAGCACGGAGGGAUCUACGCGAACAAAAUUAAAGCAGUAAAUCAAUAAACCAAAUAUACUACCAAACAAAACAUAUAUAGAAAAGUGGUCCUUGUAUAAAAUAGUUGACCGGAUUCUGCCUAACAAAAUAUGCUUAAAAACUACCGACAAUCUAUCGGACAUUUAUAUACUAUGUUACACGUAUAUGGUAGAACACUUCCUUAAACACAACAUUAUCAGUUAUAUUUGUAUUGUGUCCACUGCUAUCAUCAACGAAAAUUUUAAGACCGCGUCGACUGGUAAACCGAUUUACAGCAACAUAAAGUUGGCCAUGCGUGAACACUGAUAUACCGGGCAUCUUUUCAAUAGCGCACACACCUUUGACAAAAUUCUUAUCAUACCGCGCAUUAAGAUUCUCACAAUGCUGCCGAUAUUCAUCAUCAUUAGUAUCUGCAAACAAUUUGAAUAUAUGAAAAACAAAACAGUAAACUAUUCCUCCAAACAUAUAAUGUUAAAUAAUUCUUACAUACCAUCAUCACGAAACAGAAUGCAUUAACGUAAUCAAGACCAACAAUUCUGGACUUCUCUGCGAUGGUUAUGUGGGUGGUAUGUUGUAAUAAAUUAAAAGUGAACUAAUAACAUCUAAAUUAAUCUCUCACCAACGUCCUCAUAGCCCACUACAUACUCCACGAUCCUAUCCGACAUUUGAUGGCCAAAAGCUAGUUUCUUAUUAACUUCAUCAACAACAAAAGUCUCUUUCCUGUUCAAUUUACUCUUCCCACGAAUACCUAUACAUAAAUAAUAUAUCCAUGCAUGUAAAAAAAUUCCAAUGCAUGGAACAAAAUAUGUGCUAUAAUAUAUAUAACACAGUCAAUCACCUUUUAUACUUGAAAUUAUAUUUGACUUUAACUGAUCAAGAGGAAAACAUUCAGCGUGAGGAGAUUCACAUUGAUUGGUACUCGAAAUAGGGGGAGACAACGUCUCUGAGAUUGCACGAUAGGUUCUUUUUCAAAGCAUAAUCAAAUGGUGAGUUAUAAGCUAUAACUUGCGUUUCAUUUAACUAUUACAUAGUAACAUGUAUAUUACCCGGGUCAAAUUUGGAGGACAUAACAACCGGAAAUUUUCAUCGGACAAAAGACCAAGCAUAUGUAUCAGGGAGGGUGUGCCGUUGAUUUCUAUGGAAUAUACAACGAAAUAAGAGAUAAGUAGGAGAAUGUUAAAGCUGUCAUAGAUUGAAGUAUAACGGUUGCAAUCAAUUGGUUUACCUGGCUACUUCGCUGCGUACUGCAUGAACAGUGACCGCAACCGGCUGCGAGACCGGUCCGAUCAAGUUAACUGCUGGAACAGGAUUACCUACAUGGUAUGUCGUAAUGAAAAGAUUUGGAGAGAGGUGAAGAUUUAACAGGAAGAGAUUAGCGGAAUGAAUUUUUUAAAGAAUCCAGAUACAGAUCUCACCGGACAGAACCGACGAAACCAAAGCGUUUUUAUCAGUCUUCCAAUCAUGGUACAACCCAAUAACCCAUCAGCAGCAUGAGUUUCUCUUCCCUGUGCAAGAGACAUAACAUAUAUCAACAGCAGACAAAAAAAUAAUAUAUAUCUAAAUUUAAGCGUCGUUGAAGAUAUACCCAAACCAUUAGAAACGGUAUUCGUUUACUACGAAGAGAAUGAGAGACGAAGACGGCUUCACCGGAGAGAGGAGGAGCAGUUUUGGGGGGGAGUGGAAAUCAAAACUAAACUGGGCAGACCUCCAUGUUUGAUCCAACCCAUCAGAAUCAGAACCAGACGUAUCGUUGUGCUGCGCAAACAGAGUUCAUUUGAUGAAAUCAAUGUACAAACAUAAAUAUAAAAGAGAUUUAUUAUGCUGAAUCGUUACCUGACCCGCUGAAAAAUCCAUUCGUUAUUAUCUUGAGAAUAAUGGCGGAGAGAGCUUGAGGCUAGAGCAAAGAAAGCUUGUGGAGGGAAAACAGAACAAAAGCAGAGCAGUGACAUUUGAAAAUAGAGAGGAAAAGUCAAAUAAUUACACAGAUUUGAUAGCCAUAAUUCAAAAUUCAAAAAGCAGUGUCAGACAAUAAUGAUCAAUGGCAGUGCCCGUAAAUAAGAGGCCCGAGAGGGGCAGUCGACGUAAUUAGGACGCAUUUUUGCCAUCAGGAUUUAUAUUCUGUAGAUAAUAUAAUUUAUAGGAUAGUGCAUUUCCGGCAUGGUAGCGGUGGAACUGGCAUGGUAGACGUGAUCAGGGACACUUCUUUCGACCACCGUGAGUAGUCAUAUUAGCGUAACAAGGACAAACUUCAUAGUUGCCGUAAGUUCCUGGAGGUACGCAACUGCAGCGCGCGCAGCAAGUCCCACAUGCCCUGUGGCACAGAUUUGGCCUGCUUGAUAACUUGCAUCUCUCGCCGCAUCUCGCUUUGCAAUCUACAUUACACACAACAGAUCAUCAGUGUUUUUUGUGCAUGUAAUUUCUCUCUAUCUCUAUGUAUACACAUGCUUAAAUUUUACCUAUUUUCUGGACAAGAGAACGGCCGCUGGUCAUCUGUAACAAGAAAGAAAUUAAUGAGUAUUAGGCAUAAAUUGAAAAAAUACAAAAAGAGAUCUAAACUUGAGCAAAACCAUACCAUGGUGUCAUCACUGUGAGCAAGUUGCAGAAGAGGAAGAGAGAUGAUGAGAAAUAAGAAAAGUUUUGAUGACCUGCAAGAAAUGGCCAUAGAAUUCAGGUCUUGAAACUGAAAGAUUAUUAAUAUAUUUGUUUUAAUGCUAUGGAGUGUUGAAUGUGCAUGUAGUGGUAUUUAUAGAGUGAAUUCUAUGGAGCGGAGCUUAAUCUGUACCAUUAAAAAUAUAUUUUUUAAUGGUACUAGAAAUUAUAUUGGUCCAGGGUGAAGCUAGCUGGAGGCCUUAGAGCUCAAUCGACCUUUGAAAUGACAGGAGUGCUAGCUAGGUACCUAUACAAGGAUUGAUAAACAUAUGUUUGUGGACUAAAAAUAGAGUAAAACAGAAUUUUAUCCAUUUUUUUAUUUUAAUUGUCAGAAAAUUUAAAUUGUAAUAGAAUGAUUAUAUGUUCUUUUAAUUAAUUAAAAAAGUGGCCCAUGAUCAUUUUUAUUAGAAAAAGAAAUUAGUUUUUACUUAGAAAAAUAUAUUUUUGUCAUUUUUCUAAAAUAUAAAAUUAAUAUCUGUCCAUCUAUUUAUAAAUUUUAAAUUUUGAUGACCGAAAUAUAAAAACAGAUAAAAUUCCGCACCAGCUUACCUCCUAAUAAUAUGAAUCCACUUCCGUGUCCAUCACUCCUCUUGUGUUCUAAUAAUAGCCGAUGUAAGUCUAGAAAACCCGAGAUUACCAUAUUGAACGUCUGAAAAUAAGCGAGGAUUAUUACAAAUUCAUUUCAAGAAAAUUAGACUCUAGCAUAGUACAAGACAUCCACAGCAUACAGCUGUGAUUUUGCUGCUUCAACUCACAUCAGUUCAUUCAAGGGGCACUUGCCCACUUGCAUGCGUGGAGAAUUUGCUACACUAUUCUUUCCAAUCGUUACGUGAAGACACGGAAAAAACAAGACAUGCAUUUUCCAUCAGAAAGAGAGAGACUUUUUGUCCUAUAAGAAUGUUACAUGUCUAUCAUUCAUGCCAUACAGCUAUUAGAAAGCUCAAGUCACUCGGGCUCUUUUCUUAGAUAAAUUAUUGUGAUAUUGCGACUUGACGAGUUGAAAUUCAACACCUGCAGUGGACAGCUGAUAUAUAUAACUACUUCGUUGUUACGGAUUGAGUUGGAAUUUGAUUAAACAAGGGUGAAAAUGCUUUACACACACAUGAUUUUUAAUUAGAUAAAUCCCGUCUUAUUAAAAAAACACGGUAAAUAAUUUCGUUAGCUUUGAGAGGUUUGGCUGUGCCAGGACCAGAUGAUCACUUUUCGUCACCACUCAUUUAUCUCAAUAAUAAGGUAAACUCAAUGUUUAAUAAUAAUAAAUAAUUUCCAUAAAAUUGAUGCACGAUUUUGAAUUUUAAUGCUGAUUUAUUCGUCAAAAGUUUAUAUGAAGAUCCUGCAGCAUCUUUGGAAAUUUUGCAAAUUAUUGUUGAAGUUUAAUCACUCAAUACCUUCUACCUUGAGGAUUAGCAUGUACUAAUUAUUUCUAUAAAAAAAUAAUCUUAUUAGCAGUAUUAAUAUAUGUAUACUGUAUACUAUUAAAAGCGAAACAAUAGAAUUGGUAUGUACUAAGGGCCUUUUGUUUUGGGGUAACUGACAAAAACAAAGGAAAACAACUAACUUCAUUGCCUUUGUUGGUGUUUGUUUUGUAAAAUUUGUCAUUCUCUUUCCCCCUUUUUAUGUGUAGGUUUACCCAACUUUCUUCUUUAUCCAUUCCCCACCCCACCACUAGGUAUUUGAUUUCCCUUUCCUCAUUGUUUUUUCAUUUUCAUUUAUAAUUUAUUUAACAAAUCAUUAAAAAUAAAAAGUGAUAUGUAAAUGCUUUUUUGAAAAUUAAAAUUUAAUUUUAAUUUAACUCUUAUAAAUUAAAAAGAAUUUUGAUAUAAUCUAUAAGUCAAGUCAUUCAAAUAAUAAUAAUAUUUUUAAAUAAUAAAUUAUAUUAAUUUAUAAAAUAAAAAUAAAUAUAUCUUUAUAAACAUAAAUAUUACUAACUUUUUUUCAAAUUAUGUGAUAUUUGAAAAAUUAGAUAUAACAUUAAUCAUACAACUUUUCAUUCUAUUUUCAAACUAAAACCAAACAGGUGAUACAAUUCAGCAUCGGCGACUCAUUUAAGCCACUGCAAACCAAAUAUAUAUCAUUUUACCCACAUUACUAUUCAUACCUCCUUACUUAAUCAUUUAUCAAAAAUUAACCGUUUAACUUUUUACUGCAAAACCACUUCGAAUGCUUUCAUAAUUGUCUCUAGUAUUUAUCAAGAUUAUUUGGGAUUUUCUAAAAUAACAUAACUAUGUAGUUAAAAAAAUAUAUAGUUAUAAAUAUGUAUUUAUGUGAUCACCCUAGCUAUGUUGCUUUAUAAAUUCCCAAAUUAUUUUGAUAAAUACUAGAUGCAAUUAUGAAGGUACUUGAAGUGGUUUUGCAAUAAAAAGUUAAACGGUUAAUUUUUGAUAAAUGAUUAAGUAAAGAGUAUAAAUAGUGAUGUGGGUAAAAUGAUAUAUAUUUGGUUUAUAGUGACUCAAAUGAGCUACCGAUGAGAUGGGUGGGUCAACUGAGAUAUUUUGACGUAACCGGUGGCCAGUUUGAUAUAAAACCCUUAUUUUUAGUAGCACAAAGUAAGAUAUAUACAUACUAUCGAUACCGAAAAGAAAAGGAAAUGUAUAAUUAUAACAAGCACAUCUUAUGUUGCCUCACCCAGCCCAUUUUAGCCAUGUUAUUAGUAUUGAGGGUUUUUUUCCCCGAUUGGUUUAAUGCCUUGAAUACUUUUCCCGACCCAUCUCCCACUCCAAGCGAAUUCUUUACUAAUGCGGCCGAUUCUAUGUUCCUUGUGAAAAUUUCUUUGAUCCUAAUCACUCCGUUCUUGACGCGAGUUAGGCAUUCACAAAUAUAGUAUACAUAUUAGAUUUGUUCGAGGAGAAUCUAGUAAAAAGAAUCUAAAAAAUAAAUGAUUAAAAAUAAAUAAAAUUAUUAUAAUUAGUUUUUUAUUAAAAAAAAGAAAAUAAUUCAGAACGAAAAAUCAUACGGCAACUAUAUUAUGAUCACCUGAGCAAACACAACAAUAGUGUGUGUAUGCUUUCAAUCCAAAAGAACUCAAAUUUGUUAAAUCCAGCAAUUUUUAUUGAAUAAAACAUGUUCAAAACAUAAUCUAAUAUAUAUUUAUUUUUUUGGAAUUUAAAAGCUAUUUAUAGUUAUCAGCAUCUAAGCACGAUAUUAUGAAAAGCUGAAAGCUGAUAUAGGCUUCUUUUUCCUGAACAUAUCUCUCUUAAAGAACGUCAUCUAUACGUGAAAGUGUUGGUUUACAAUAUUUGAGACAUCAUAUACAAAAACUUUAGACAUUUUAACCUUAUGAGUUUUGGGUCAAUGACUCCAAACUAAAUAGUCUUAACGCAUCGGAUUUUUAAAUUCUCCAAAGGACUUAAUAACUUGAGUUUAUAUUUUGGAUGAACUUAAAAUAUUUGUUUGCUGCAACCUUUGGUGUGAAUUUGUCAUCAUAUCAUUCAAGUGAUUCAUCAAUAUGUUUAACUAACUCGAGAUUUUCUCCUUAUUUAAAAAAUAAAUAAAUUUGGCAUCGAAGCCGAAUAUAAAAUCAAAGAUGAUAAGUCAGUUAUUGUUGUGGUGCAUGUUUCUAUGCUUAACUUCUUUAUUUUUGCACAAUAUACAACUGUCCAAACUUCGGUGAAAAACACAUACUCACUCUGUUUUCAAGUAUUUGACGUUUGACUUUUUGGCACACAAUUUUAAGAGCUUUGACUGCAUACUUAAAAUUAUUAUAUUUAAAAGUUUCUUUUUCUGAAUAAAAAUAUUAAUCUUAUACUUUAAUUUACAAAAAGAAAAUUUUAAAAAUAUUAAUUUUGGCUAUGCAGUCAUUGCACUUAAAAGUGUGUGCACAAAAGUCAAACGUCAAAUAUUUGAAAACAGAGGGAGUACAAGCUUGUUGCAUAUGUGGGGAUGAUAACCGAAUAAGUUGUGUGGCUCCUUUUUGCACGUGUGUGGAUUAUGAGUGUAAUUAAGUUUGCCCCACACUAAUUAACAUAAUAUUCGUAGCUGGUUCGAUUUCUGUGACUAAUUCGAUAUUAUUAUAGUCAAUCCUUAAUAUUAACUUGUUCGAUAUGCAACUCGCUUGUUAUUAAUUAAAAUCAACUAUUUAUUUUUUCCUACACGAUAUAAAUUGUUGUACUAGUCACUCUUAUAUUGUUGUUAUAAUCAUUAUAAUGAAUUAUGGUUAUAUUGGAUUUGAUAUUACUGAUCGAAAGCCCUUUUUCAAAGCACAGUUGUUUUUCAUAUAUAUUAUUUUCUAAGUUUGCAGUGAGGUGAUGAUCUUUGUUAUCAAAGACAUACUAGUAGAGAGUUAGCUAUUUUUACAUCCUAAGUAUGAUGAAAGACCAAACAUCUAAUUAGAGAAGGGCACGCGGGCACCUCGGGGUCGGGGAGUGCUAUCCCCGUCCCUGAAUUCAAUACUCAUUCCCGACCACGCCCAGAACCUCGAAUGGGGAUUUUUUUUUCUCACCGAUCCCCGCCACAAACGGGGAACGGGAACCCCGGCGGGAAUUCGGGAAUUUCAUUAUUUAUGUAAAAUAAUAAAUUUAUAAUAUAUAAUAUGCUUUUUAACAAAACAAACAAACUACUAACUCGUAAUACACUAAUAAAAUGAUAUUAUCUCAUAUUUUCAACAUUAAAUCAUAUUAAAAUUGAUGUAUAAUAUAAAUAAACAGCAAUUUUAAAAUUUUAAAAUAUAUUAUAUUACAAUUUUUUUAUAACACUUACCCCGUUUCCCGCCGCGUCCCCGAAUUCCGUCCCGAACAAGGCGGUGAUCGGAUCGGGAUCGAGCGGGGAGGGAUGAAUGCCCAUCCCUACAUCCAAUAUUUAAGAUCCAGGACCAACAAAAAUUAGAAGUACAAAUACUACGGGGCUGUUUGGCUGAGUUUAAAAGAAGUGACUUAUUGCUUAAAGUAAAGAAGUGGAUUAUAAGUGAUAAGUUGGUUUGGACUUAUAAGCUACCAUAAGUGUUUGGAUACCGUGACUUAUAAGUUUUUUAAGUGUUUGGAUAACUUAACUUAUAAGUUGGUAUUAGUUUGGUAAUUUUGUAAUAUAAUAAUUUAUUUCUUUUAAAAAAUAAAUUAUAAUUAUAAAAGAUCUUUUAUUGUUAAUAUAUGAAAUAUAUGAAAUAUUUUACAUUACAAAAUUUUAAAAUCUGCAUUAAAAUAAAAAAUUAAUAACCACAAAUAAUACAAAAUUUUCCGACAUAUACACUAAUUAAAAGAUUUGAAUCUACAGAAGUAACUACCGAGACACUCAUCCUUGGCACAGGACACCUGUGAUACCUCUAACCACUCUGGAUCCCGUAAACAACUUCUUUAAAAGUAAAAAUAAAAAUAACACAAAAUAAAUCUUUGGCACAAAAUAUUUAUUUAGUCGCUGCUAAGGUCGAAGUCCACGUUUUCUGUCAUAAAAAGAAGCAGAAGUUAGGUCUCCAAAAAAAGCUAGGGUAGGAAGCUUAUUUGUUGGGCUUCUUUUCGCUCUAUUAAUAGCUUCCUGAGUUUUGCCAAACAGGCAGUUAAAAGUGAAAGCGGACUUUUGAGGCUUUUAAGCCUAUAAGUCAUCACUCCCAAACACCCACUACAUCAAGGGUUCUACAUGGAUUUUGAGAAAGUAACAUGGAAUUAUGUUCCAAGGCGAUUGACGUAGAUUUUUACAUUUAUAGUGAGAAAGUAACGAAGUCUUACUUUCCAAGAUUUAUAUGUGUAGAGUUGUAAAGACUUCUCUGCCUGCUAUAAAAAAUACAUGUUUUUAUAGUAAAAAUCUUGAAUCCGAAGUGGAGUUUUGAGACUAUACUAGGAUGAGCAUAUCCGUAAGAAAUUUCAUCAUCACAAAUCAGGAAUAAAAUCUCUCGCGUGAUAUUUCUCUCUUUCUUUACUUCUUACUUCCGUAUAUUAAACCGUUAUUAUUCUUGAUACAAGAUUUUAAUAAGAGUAUUUUUUAAAAGGUGUCAUAUAUUUUCAAUUAAUGAUUAAGUUAUUAAACACACCUUCUACCUUAAUUAACCGCUCUACCAGAAGCUAAUUAAAUUAUUAAUUUGAAUUUAAUAGGAUGAUAUCUUUUGUGGCGAUAAAAAAUUAAGAUCGAAUAUUAUUGUGGUGACAAUUAUUUUGGUACGAUAAUACUUUAUAUAAACGUCAGGCUAGUAACUCACGUGUGUCAAAUACCUCUUCUAAAAUAAAAGAUGUAUAAAAUUUCCUAAUAAUUCAUGUAAUGAAGUUUUUUAAAUAAUCAAAUAAAGGCCUAGAUACUUACAAUCCUGGUAAAAUAAUACUUUUUUUUUUUGAAAGGAUGGUAAAAUAUAUACUUAGUGAUAAGUCAAAAGAACAAUAAUUCAAUUCAAAUAAAAAGUAAUGAACUUUAUUUUUUGUCAAUAAAAAAAACUGGAAUGAAUACAAAUUGCGGUUUGCCUGAUUUCAUGCCUUCCGUCCACCGUACAACAGAAACAUCUUAAUUAAAUAUCGGGCAAAUAUUAAAGUGAUCAAGUGGGGAGCAUGACACAAGGCAUUUUGCCAGACUAGGUCAAUAAAGUAAGCCAUAGACAGGUCCAGGACUGAGUAUAGGGGUACAUCACUUCACGGUAUAAGAUAGGAAUUAGGUACAUUCGCCCAACCCGCUAAACCCGAACCGUGUACACCUCUAACUGGGUAUAUAUCCAAAUCAUCAAAUUACUUUAAAAAGUCCAAAAAAACUUACUCACUCCGUUUCUAAAACCUUUUUUAAUUUGAUAUGUUGGGAAUUUUCAUAACAUGAGACAAAUUAUUAAUUCUAAUUUUUUAUGAUGUGCCCAUGGGCAUACAAUAGUCACUAACUCCCAUGAGAAUACUAGCUUCUGAUUGGUGGAUGGAUAAUAAAAUUUGAUGCCCCAUGCAUUUACACUAAUUCCACCAAUCAAAAGAAGUCAUUUUCAUGAGAGUUGGUGCUUAUUGUGUGCCCUUAGGCACACAUUAGAAAGACCGUUACUAAUUUAAGUCUAAUUUAUAAGACUAAACAUAGGCAUAAGUGAUGUUGUUGGUUUCAUAGUUAUAAGUAUUUUAACACGGUGAAAUUUUUAUAUUGAAUACUAGUCUGAAACUAAAGAUAUUAAUGAUUAAAAGUGUGUUUGCAGACGUAAUAAAGACAAACAAGAAAAAUAUUAAGAGAUGGCAGUGAGUAUUAUUUAUAAAAUGAAAUAUCAUAAUAUUCGUACUACAUAUAUUGGCAAAACCGAUCAAUUCGACACAGACUGACCUUGUUUUCGGCCGAUCUAAAUUCUUUAAAUUCAAACCGAUAUAUAUUGAAUGAAAAUAUUUAAAUCUCAUUAUAAUGUCUUGGGUACAAGUUUAAAUUUUAUAGCCAAACCUGACCCUAUUUUAAAAAGAGAAAUAAAUAUAUAAAUGUGUGUAUUUAUUUUGGUAUUAGAAUCUAUACUUAAUUACUGAUCGUUUAUUAUUGAUUUGCAUAGAGAAAAAUGUUAGAUACUCCAAAAAAUUUCUCGAAUGAUGUGUCGAAAGUAUGAUUGGUUGCUUUCACUCCCAUAAUAAUGACACCCUCUGCAGAUUCAUCAAUCACCCAAUCAUAAUAUUCCAUGUGUUUACCACAUCAUUUGGUAAAAAAAUUUGGGGAAAUUUUGGGGCACGACAUUGCCCAUAGCAUAUAUUUUUGGUCAAAUUUCAAAGACUUUGGCUCUGUUUGGAAGUUAGAGGUUUGGCCAAAAAUUAGAGGUUUGAAGUGAUUCAGAGGUUUGACCACUAGAAUCCGCUAACUUUAGUGUUUGGUAGUUAGCGGAUUGAAAUAGAGGUUUGAGUCCAAAAAGCUAAUUUUGAAAAAGUUACUUUGAGGAGCUUUUUGGAUUAGAGGUUUUGGUAUGUGUCAGAAAAAGCUAAUCAAUCAGCUAUUUACCAAACAGUUUUAUGAGAAACAGCUAAUGCAAACCGCUAGUCAAAACAUCUAAUUCAAUCAGCUAGUCAAAACAUCUAAUUCAAUCCGCUAACAGCUAACCGCUAAUUUCCAAACAGGGCCUUUAAUGAGAAUAGUUUUAGAAAGAUAAAAGUUGAUCUUAAGCAAUAUUUCUUGCUAUGAUCAAUGAACCAAACAUAUUGGAACUCGAUAAUCAUGUGAAAAUAUUAUAUAUAUAUAUAUAUAUAUAUAUAUAUAUUACUCAAAAUAUACAAAUUCAUAUUUAAUAUUUACAAGUUACUCAAACAUGACAAGAUCAAACUCCAAAACACACCUACGUAGAAUUAACUGGUUUCAUUUUAUGUAUACCUUUUUAAUUGUACAUGUGCAUGAGUUACCCGUCCAACUACUCAAAUUAAUCCCAAUCAUCGAGGGCCGUUUCAUAUCAUAUGAGGGUCCAUGGUGAAAUAAAAAUUUUGGACCUCUCAAGAAAAAUUUCUUAUAAAAUAUUAUGUAGUCUUUCAAUUUUUGACUCUUGAGCAUAGGCUGUGAAUUUGAAAAGCAAUAUAAUAAUACAUAAUAACACACAGAUUCAUGGGUAGUCGGACAAAACCUAUAUUAAACCUUAAUGUAUACUACACAUGGUUAAAUUUUGGGUCCUCUAAAAAGCAUGGCCCUGUCGUCCUGCUCACCCUCCCUCUAGAUCGGGCCUGCAAUCAUUUUGCACUAAACUGUUUGAUAAUUAACGGUUAACGAAUUGAACUAGGUGUUUUGACUAAUCGAUUGAAAUAAAUGCUUUGACUAGCGACUUGUAAAAUUGUUUGAUAAAUAACUGAUUGAUUAGCUUUUUGUGACACAUAUCAAAACUUUUAACCCAAAAAAUUCUUUAAAUUAGUUUUUUGAAGAAUUGCUUUUUAGCCCAAACCUCUAUUUCAAUCCGCUAACUAUCAAACACUAACAUUACCGGAUUGAAAUUGUCAACCCUUAAAACAACUCAAUCAUCUAAUUUUAUCUCAAUAUCAAUUUUCCAAACACGGCCAAGGCUGUCCUGAUUUUUAUUUAAUGGUGGGUAGUAAAUUUUCAAAUCGAUUUAAUUACUCUCUCCGUCCGACAAUACAUGUCACUUUGAUUUUUUUCACGCAAUUUGAGGUGCAAAUAAAAUAUAUGUCUAUAUAUUAUUUUUCAAAUUUUCUUUUUUUAAAUAAAAAUAUAGAUGUUAUACUUUUAUUCAGAAAAAAAAUUUUGAAAAAUAAUGUAUAGAAAUGUUUUAUUUACACAUCAAAUUACAUGCAAAAAGUCAAAAUGACAUAUAUUUUGAGACGGAGGGAGUACUAAAUACAUAUAUUGGAAACAUCGCGACUCGAUCAAUCCAGCUCGUGUACAGCCGUGGCCCGUGCUUGUAAGCAUGUUUAAUGUUACGGAGAAUGAAUUAGAAAUAUCAUUAAUUUAUCUACGGAGGUGUGAAUAUACGAGAGAUACUCUGGCUAAUUCAAUGGUAGGUAGCUUCAAAUUGGACAGGGCCAAUAAUGCACGUACACGUAGUGAAGACUAAUAGACUAUCAAUAAAUAUUAAGAGUACCUCACAGCUGACUUUCUUCCUUCUGAAUCUUAUUACUCUGUCCUUUCUUAAUACUGCUACUGUAGAAGAUAUACGUGGUGUACUAUUGUUGUCAUUAUACGACCUAUUCUUUCGAGGUGUGGGCCUGUGUGGCGAGGUUUAGAACUCCUGCUUCUAAAUUUAUAAAUCAGAAAUAAUUUAGUUAUUAUAUUAUAUACUCCUUCCGUCCCACCAGAUUCUUUACAGUUUCCUUUUAAGCCGUCCCACCCAUUUCUUUACAUUACAAAACUUUCCUAAAAUAGUUUAUGGGUCCCACCACUUUCACACUUUUUCUUCCUUUUCACACUACUUUUACUCCACUACCUCUCUUUUAUAUAUUAAAAAUCAAUGGGUCCCACCACUUCACCCACUUUUCUUUCUCUUUUCUACUACUUUAUACAUAUUUCUUAACCUCCGUGCCCAAACCCAAUGUAAAGAAUUGGGUGGGACGGAGGGAGUAAUGAUAAUAAUUUUUUCAAGUAAAAUUAGAAUUUAAACUCCAAUUUCUUGCUUGUGUAUAUUAAAGGAUGAGAAAAGAAUUUAUAAAAAUUAAAAAGAUGAUUAAUUAUGAUAUGUUUUAUUUUUUUAUCCAUAAUCAUAAACCAUUCAAUUAAAAUCAAUUCACUCGGAAGAAUAUUUAUAAAACAGAUUUGUUCACUGAUUCUAAAGUAUACCAGUAAAAAUAUGGCUAGAUUUAUGACAACAGAUUAAAAAUUUCAAAAACAAAAUAUUAGAUAUCUCAAAAAGUGUUUUCAAACUUUCUCCAAUUCAUAACGUAUGAUUGGUUUCACACGCAUUAAUAAUAAUAAAAUAUUUAUUUAUAUAUAUAUAAACCAUCCAAUUUUAUUGGUAGAAAAAUGUUUUAUGUGCCAGGUUGAUUUUUUUUUAAUUUCUUCGUUCAAAGAAGAGAAAAAGGCGGGGGUAAAAAAGUAAGGGUCAAAGAAGAACAGAUGUUGCUGACAGUGACAUCAAUCAGCAAAGACCAAACUCUAAAAACGGCUUCAUAAUCAUCGUAAUCCAAUCUAACUGACUUUUGGUAAGAAAUAAACAUCCCCCCUUAAAACCCAAAAUUAUAAAACACAAACCCAAGUCAAUAGUUUCAGCUCUCCACGCGUCUUAUAAUCCCCUCUUUAACUAAUCACAAUUUACUUUUCACAAUCCAUUCCACUUCUUUGAUUAAUUUUGCUAGGCUUCUCAGCUUCAUUUCACAAGUAAUUGAUUUGCAAUGGGAGGUGUUUGCACUGGCGGGACAAUUAAGCGCACUAGUAGCAGUUCUGAUUUUCAAGAAAAGACUGAUAAUGUUAAUGUUUCUGGUUUUUCUGGGAAGCUUAAAUCGAUUAAGAGUGGGUUGGGUAAGCAGAAUAACAGAAGAAAGGAGAGCCAGGAUGAUGGUGAUGGUGAUGGUGAUUUGUAUUUACCGGAUGUUGAGAAGAGGAGGAGGACUCAUCAUAUUUUCGAUUCCGGGGAGCUUCAUUUUUCGAUUUCCAGGGAAUUGAAGUCUUCUUCUGCUCCUGUUCGGAAUCCGGCUGCCAAGGUUUGAUUAUGUACUACUACUAGUUGUUUGUCUUAAUUAUUGUGUAUUUAUAUGAAGUAAUUAUGAGAUAUGAUUGAUUGAUGAUUGCUACUUGAUUUUCAUUACAAUUUAGAAUUGUAUAUUAUGUUACUCCGACUCCCUUGAUGUCGGUUGUAGUAUUUGAUAAUUGAUAUGUGUCGGAUCAUUUGACUGAAAUGUGGACACUUUGACCGUGAGACUGCAUUUGAGAUGAACUUAUGGCAAAAAGGAAGAUGAUGAGUAGACAGAACGGAAUUUUGGACUCUCUAGCAAAUGCGGAGUGGAUAGACAUUCAUUUCUAAAAGGAAUUGUAAAAGUUUCUUACGUGUCUUUGUAGGAUUAGUAUUUAAUGACUCCAAUAGGUAGUUACCCUUGGAACGCAUGGUGAUAAAGCAACGGGGCGAGUUGUAACUAGGGGUAGGAUGCUAAGACUAAGAGCAUCUCCAAGAGAGUAGCUGAGAAUUCUUAAACUAUGGUUUUGAAGAAUAUUGUUAGCUCAUUUAAGAGUAGCUAAGAUGUCUUAAAUGAGGAAUGAGAGGAUGAUCCUAACUUUUUUAAGGGAAUGGUUAGGGCUCUCUUGGAGUUGUGUUUUCUGCCCUAUUCCUCAAAUUAUAGCUUAGGACGUCAAAUAACUAAAUCUCUUGGAGAUGCUCUUACUUCCCACCUUCUUCACAGUUCACACUCUCUCCCACCUUUUUCAUAUUAAUUUUUUGCUAAUAGAUAUUGAAUUUAAUACUAUAAAUGAUAAUAGGGAACACAAAUAGGGAUAAUUGUUGAAAUUGUCAUUCAAUAUAGUGUCCUCUCUUACCAAAAACUGAAUUGUUAUUAUAUAUUUAGGGAAUUCCACCGGGACACUCUUGGAGAUGCUUUAACUUACCGGGAAUUGAAAUUUUAUUAUAUAUUUAGAGAACCCACUAGGAUACUCUUGUUGAUGCUCUAAGUAAUCAAUGAGUGCGUAUUUUGUUUUUGGGUAUAUUCUACUUGUAUUUAAAUAUGUCUUGGCGUAUUGCCCACCAGUGUAUUGGCUUUAGUGCAUGAGUCGAUGCCUUGUAACAGAGGGAAGUUUAGGAUCUGAUAAGACUAGUACAGACCAGGAUUUUUUUGUACUUCAUUCCACAUUCUGGUGUUAAUAUAUCCCCAUCUCUUCAGUAUGAAGGUAGACUUUCUGGGUGAUUGGUCAUUUAUACUACAAUUAUUACAGCAUUGCACUCUGAGUGAGGGGAGGGCACUCACAUAUAUGUCAGCAAAUGGGGAUAUAUUAUAUUUAAAAUGAAUAGUGCUCUUUUGAAAUGAUGGUUUUGGAAGAUCUAGAGUUAGACUCAAAAAUCCCCGUAAAAUAAGGACAUCAUCACUUAACUUUACUGUUUUAAGAUCAAAAACUCUAGAGCUUGAGUUCUGCCUACUUCUACGAUCAUCCUGUUCUGCAACGUAUGUACCUUAACUAAUCGAAAUUAUCAGCUGACAAGUAUGAGAAAGUUUUGUGUAAACUACCAAACAUCUGAGCCUAAUGAUAAUAAAGUCGACACUAUGUAGGAACUUGAGAGCCACACGAAGAAGCUACUUAAUGACGCUGUUAAGCAGGCAUGUCAUUAGUAUCUAUUAAGUGCAAUAACAAUUACAUAAUUCUUUGUGUCUGGUAUUGUGUUGUCUAAUAGCUGGUAUUAUAAUACAGCAAAACUUUAUAAAUCAUCUUGAACUCGCAAAGACCACAAAUGAACAUCUUGUUUCAUUGUAUUGCAUCUUUGAGAUUUUGAGUUUCUGUACUGUAUUUUGUCCUCUCUGAUAACGCCAAUCUCCGAUCCCGGUCCUUCCUCCGCCGUGACUGGUGGUUCCGUGGUGUAGCUGCUGGAUGGGAGCCUACAAAACAACGCCGGCGGGGGGGUUUGGCCCCAAAGCGCCUCCGGCGUGAGAGUAAGCGUAGGUUUCGGAAGGAUAAGAUUAGAGAAAGUGCUAUCUAUGUGUGGUGGGUGAAGGUGUAUGUGUGGUGGUUGCUGGUGGCUGGUGGCUGAGAGUGUUUGAAUAUAUGCUGAGUGUAAAUGUGUGUGAGAAUAUGAGUGUAGAGAGUGAAGUUAACCCCUAAACUCUUGAUCCUUGGUCUAUUUAUAGGCCAAGGAUUAGGGUUUAAGGGUGCGUACCUGGAUCCUGGUCCUACACGUGUAGGGGUUUGAUUCCCUACACUCCCUGGCUCGUCUCUAUCGCCAGUAGUUGACCGUUAUGUUUGUCUUUAUCGUGUCAGUCUGUGCCUUGUGCAGCAAGUGUCGGCCGGUACGGGUGUGUCCGGGUAAGUUGUGAGCUUCGAUGUACCCGGGUAAGAAGUCCCGCCGUGGUUGUGUACCCGGGUAAGAUCGAGGAUUGCCUUGAUUGUCUUGUGUGGUCGACAGCCUUGUUGGUACCGGGGCCCAUAUAUAAACCCGGGUAGGUAAGACUUCGGGUUAUACCAUAUCACUCUCUAGAACAUAUAACAUUUUUUUUAAGCAGACAUGACAGGUAAAGUGAAAAUUUCCUCACCCAUCUUGGCUUUUGAUAGAAGGAUUUGUACUCAACAUAAGAGGCUAACUUGCAAAUGUUGAUCUAUGCUUGCUAACGUUAAAUUUACAUUUUUUAUGUAAAAAUCUGCCGUGGCUUUGUUUCACUGAAGACUUUAUGAUAUCAUGGUAGGGACCUCAAGCUGGUUCAUUUCUUGGUAAAGCUGGCAUUGUGGGCUUUGAGAGGGCAGUGGAUGUCCUGGACACACUUGGUAGCAGCAUGACAAAUUUAAACGUCGGAAGUGGUUUUGUAUCAAAUAUGGCUUCAAGAGGAAAUAAAAUAUCUAUCCUUGCAUUUGAAGUCGCUAAUACUAUUGCCAAAGGUUCAAACUUGUUGCAAUCUAUUUCAGAAGAAAAUAUCCAAUUCCUUAAAAAGGAAAUUCUUCACUCGGGAGGAGUACAGCUGUUAGUUUCUACAGAUAUGACAGAGUUGCUUAGAAUUGCUGCUGCAGACAAAAGGUUAGUCAUACGUUUUAUGUUACUGGAAGCCAUUGUUCACAUUGAAAGUGUUUAUAAUCAGUUUCUUUACAUUCUAAUAAUUGUUUGUAGGGAGGAAUUUGGUGUCUUUUCUAGAGAAGUAAUUAGGUUUGGAGAUCUAUGUAAAGACCCACAAUGGCAUAGUCUGGGGCGUUAUUUUGCAAGGUACCUUAGCUUUUUAUAUAUAAUACUCAUAAAACUGUUUAUAGUCUGCUGCAAGAUCAGAGAUAAAACUUAUAAAUUAUCAUAUUGUCAGAUUGGAUACAGACCCCGUGACCGAAAAACAACUUAGAGAAGAUACAGAGAAGACAAUGCAAGAAUUGACCAAUCUGGCUCAACACACUUCUGUAAGCUAUUACACUGUUUUUUUUUAGUUUUCUACGUAUCUUCAGGGGGACACAUCCAUUAUCUGAAUGAUUUACAUAUGUUUGGCUAGGUUUGCUGUAGGGUUUUAGAUACAUCAAGUCCUUGUCAAUUUUAUGAGAUAUUUAGUUGCAUGCUAUCUUUCUAGCAUCAAUUCCUUUAGAACAUAUAGAUGCAUCUCACUACAGGAAUUAGUGUUUUCCAUAGUCACACCAGUUCUGUUGUAAAAGUUAGUUUAAGCUAUUACCAGAUGCGCCUGUCUAUUUAUUCGGUGACUUAAUUACAAGGCCAACUCAUAAUCAUAAAUUACAUAUAAUAUGCAGGAACUAUAUCAUGAGUUGCAUGCUUUAGACAGAUUUGAACAAGAUUACCGGAGAAAGCUUGAGGAAGUGGAGUCUUUACAUCUUCCUCGAAAAGGUUAGACCCUUAGAAUUGGAUAUUGUUCUCUUAUUCUGAAGCUCAGUUAUGAUGGUGUAGUUUAGCACUAACAGUCUUAUGUUUGCAAUGAUAAAUAUUCUUUUAUUGUACAAAGACCUCUCUCGAAUCGUAGUUUAUAGUUAAAUGAUUUGACGACAUGUGAUAUGUUUAGCAUUAUCAGUCAUUAUGUAGGUAGCAUUAGUAAACUGCGAUAUCCCUCAAUUUCAGUCAUAUUGUUCGAAAUGUUUUUCAAACUAACAAUACUGGUAUACGGUACAUGUCCUCUUCACUUUACUUCAAAGAAUUCAGACACUCGAACAAGAGUACAUGCGCCAGGCACUUCUUUCCAGUGUUGUUACUACACCAUAAUGUUUGUUGAGGCAUAAGGGCGCCAAAUUUUCACAGUAUAUUUCUACAAUACUAUACACUCGUUCGAAUCAUUCUGUACCUUUUUUUUGCUAAAAAACAUAAUCAUUUUUUCCCAACAAUUUGAACAAUAAAACGAUAUUUUACAUGAUUCGCAAUAAAUAUCCUAUUAAUCAAACAAAAUUUCAGAACUCUACUAGAGAUUGGUGGCUGGAGGCCAUCAGGUAGUCAUGAUUUGCUCAAUGAUUGCAAGUUACAUGUUGAGCAUGUUUAGAUCGAUUAGAUUUGUAACAGGUGAAGCACUACUUUACAUUUUGCUUUUACCCAUUGGAUCAGAUUAAAGCCAGCUUCCCAAUACUACUUAUGGCCCAAUACUUAUAUUUAUAACCAAAAUGUUACGUCAUCUAAUAGAUAUGCUACAUUUUAAAGUAAAAUCUGCCAGACUACAGGGUGAUGACCAAUGUUAGAUAUUAGAAGAACACGUGUCCCUCUGCCUGAUAUCAAUAUAUGGCAGAUAUUGACACAUUUAUUAAUUUAAAACAGCUCAUGACUUUUCUUGACUAAAACUUUGCUUGAAGACUUGUACAUUUUCCAUUUUAUGCUGUUCAUAUUGUUUUUGUGUUUACUAAACAAGAAGUUUAGUAAAUUGAAUAUUUUUCAUAACUAAUUCAUUGUCCUGGCAUUGUAGGAGAGGGUUUGGUGAUUUUACAAUCUGAGCUAAAGCAUCAAAGAAAACUCGUUAGAAGCUUGAAAAAGAAAUCUCUUUGGUCCAGAAGUUUGGAGGAAGUAUGUUGUCCAAUAAAUAUUUUUGUUUUCUGACUGCAAUUUUGCAUCAGUUUACAGUUACAAGUGUUUUAGGUUUCACAAUCGAUCAUUCAGAUAGUAUUGGUGAUUAUGUGUGUGUGUGUGUGUGUUCUGCAGCCAUUUAAAUUUGACAGUUUGCCUCCUUUUCAUAUCAAUACAGGUUGUAGAGAAGCUUGUUGACAUAGUAACCUUCAUACAUCAAGACAUCUUGGAAGCAUUUGGGGAAAAUGGUACAUAUAUGUGCAUAUUUCUUUUUACUUGUAUAGUCUGGAGGUCCAAUGCAAUUAUAAACUGGCACCACUCGUUGGUUAAAAAAUAUCUUGUAAUUACAAUGUCAUAGAGGGAUCUCUCUUAAGUGAUUGUGCCUUGGUUGGUUUGAAUUAUAUUAUUUUACUUCAUUAUGUAUGGUUUUAUUAAAUUUAGUGCAACUUGGCUCUCAGUCGUUUAUUUUCUUUUGCUAUGAAAGUGGCAGCGGUGACAUCUACCGGAACAAAUACUUGUAAUAAACCUGAAAGACUAGGUGUUGCUGGUCUUGCUCUACAUUAUGCUCACAUAAUCACUCAAAUGGAUAACAUUGUAAGUGCUAGAUAUUCCUUCCGGUUUGAGGUUUCUCAUGGAUGGUUUUGUGUGAUUGAGCUGAUGUAAUGUGUUUGUUUCUACUUAUACAUAAAUAGGCAUGUCGACCUACGUCUCUCCCUCCUAAUAUGAGAGAUGGAUUGUACAAUGGGUUACCUGUCAGUGUCAAGAUGGCUUUGCGUUCAAGGUUACAGGAAUUUGAUGCGAAGGAAGAAGUAUGGACUCUUUUCAAGUUUUUGAUAUUAUUGCUAACUGGAUUUUUUUGGGUUUUGGUUGUUCUUAUAAUGCGUUAUCGUUGUGUAAAAUUUUCAGCUUACGGUUCCCCAAAUUAAAGCUGAAAUGGAGAAGACUCUCCAGUGGCUUGUUCCAGUUGCUGCGGACACUACCAAGUAUGUGCCACUGUCUUUGAUUACUUAGUAAUCAACCAACUCUUAUAUGCUUCUCUACAAAGCAGUAUUUUUGACCUUACCUACUUGGUCUUUUUAAUUUUUAAAAGUUUCAGUUAUUUUACUUGUACUAAUCUGAUUAAAAUUUGACAGAGCUCAUCAAGGUUUUGGUUGGGUUGGAGAGUGGGCAAACACUGGGUCAGUGAACAGUUCUCUGGUGCAUGACUAGUAUCUUUAUGUAUUAAUGUGAGUACUAAUAUUAUUUUUGUUCCCAUUUGACAGUAUGGAUUUUGGCGGCAAGAAGACUGGGGCCAACAGCACUGUGAUUCGGCUACAGACACUGUAUCACGCAGAUAAGCAAAAGAUGGAUCAAUACAUCCUUGAAUUGGUGGUCUUCCUCCACCGUCUUAUUAGCUCAGUUAGGUACAAAGACAAUGGAUUCAAGGCCUUGCCAGUUCAAUCGCCGAUACGCCAAAGACUAAUAACACAAAUCAGGACGCAAGAACUGCCGUCAUUAAACAGGAAUUGUGAUGUCCAAGAGAAAAAACUUUCUUCCGAGGACAGAAAUUUGUUGGAAGACGUAGCGAAUCAUAGAAAAAUAGUUAUUGGGAGAAGCAAAAGCCAAGGAUUUGCAAUCGGCAGGAAGGGUUCAAUUAAAGUUUGGGCAUUAAGUAGGAGCACCGGCAGUUCUCCGAGAAGAUUCUUGCAGCCCGGGCAUCAAAAGUCGAGCAUUUUGGAUAUAUUGGAUGGUAUGGAUCAGCAUGAGUUAUUUUCAAUCUAAUCAUAUUGCUCAUGCCAUUUAUUCGUUGAAUAGCCUACUUGGUAUCCGGUUGUAUAUAUCAUUAUCUGCAGUGGGGCAUUUAUAGUAUCGUGAAAGAAGAGACAUGGUGGAAAUUUUGAAAAUCAUAUUAGUUAUUGGUAUAUACUGGAAAAGUUCAAGUGAGAAUUUGAUGUUUAUUACAUAUCUUUAUAUUGGUAAAGAAACUGAACUCGAGAUGUUUAAGAAAUCCGAGUCCCUAGCAGUUACAUUUUUGCGGCACCACUGUCAGAUGACAUGCCGUAAAUGUUAAAACAUGUACCGUAACCGGAAUUUGGUUAAUAGAAUCCCAGUUUAACAGGAUUUGAAAGUGCAAGAUUAAAGCUGAUUGAUCAUAGAAUUAAACAGGCAAAAACCUAGCAUGGCCAGUUUAAAGAAAACUAGACGCCCACCGUGGGGCUCGAACCCACGACCACAAGGUUAAGAGCCUUGCGCUCUACCAACUGAGCUAGACGGGCAAUUGGUUCAUAGGUCAAAAACGGAUAAAUAUCCAUUUUUGGUAAUUUUCUUUUAUAAUUAUAGCUAUUAUCAGGAACUAUAGAAAAUAAUUGAAAAUUUGUAAAGCAUUGAUUUAAACACCUGCUUCACAAAUAAGAUAAUGAUCAUUACAGUACCUGUGUUCUAGGAACCUUUAUACGAGAACAGAAAUGAGAAGCUUCGAUUUCUUUAGAUUGUUUCUAGAAACCAUUGAAGGUAUUUUUGGAGGUGCAGUUCAAAAUUUAAUCAUUCUCACAAAAAACCAUCUUAUAGCCGCAGAGAAUUAUUUAAUUAUAUUUUAAAAUCAUAUUAAAUAAUUUUAUAAUCAUACUUGUGUAUAAAAUGUAACUUUAAUAUAAAUUACUAAUCAUAUAGAAAUGCAUAAACAAUGCAAAAUUUACGAUUUAAACAACAAAAUUGAUUUUUGAUUUUCCUUUCCAAAAAGAUUAUUUUGGAAGAAUUUGGUUCUACUAUAGAAUCAGUUUCGAUAUUAUAAUAGAUUUCAACGAUUUUUUGAAAGAAAGUGAUGAAAUUUUAAUUUUUGAUUAAAUAUUUGGUACUCUAUAUCGGUGGUUCUACAUAGAGUGUGACUUAUGAAAAAUGUCGAUAAGACAAAGUAUGGUGGUAGAAAUUAGAUAACAUUUAAUUAUUUUUUUUGACAUUUGUAAAUUUUGAAUUUUAUUCUAAAAAAUUAUUUUUGGUUAGUUUUUUAAUAGUGAAAUGCGCGAAAGUUUCACGUGAAAAGUCAAAUACAGUUUUCUUUUAGAGUAUCGGGACAACUUUUUUGUAAAAGCAUUUUUGGAUUGAAAAAUUGUUGUUCAAACAAGCUAUUUUUAAAUUUAUCAAACAGUUUUUAACCAAAUUUUUAAGAAAUUUUUUUUUGUAAUUAUAAAACUAUCUAAAUGUAUAUUAAUGUUUGUAUGAGAAAUAAUUUUGAUAUAUAUACAAUCUCGUGCGUUAUACGGGCUUCUACACUAAUUAUUAUUUAAAUCUUAUACCUUAAAUUCCCCGAGCUAUGAAUUUUGAAUACCCAAUAAUUGAGUUGAGAGAAGGUAUGCUAAUCAAUGUCGGUUUAAAUUUUAUCUCUAUUUGAACAAUUAUAUAUAUGCGUGUGUGAUGUAAAAAUAUAUAGUAUUAAUAACAAUAAAAUUAUUAAUAUUUUUGUAUUAAUUAAAAUUAAUGACUAACUCUUUAAAAAAUAUGAAAUCAAAUAUAAUAUUUGAGAACUAACAUGUUAACAUUUCUCCUGCCAACCCAAUAUCACUAGCAACCCGGAAAAUAGAAUGCUUCUUCUUCGCGUAAUCAAUUUCUUCUCCAAUCCGAGCACAAAAAUUUUAUGCUCAUCAAUUUUUUUAAAUAAAAAUCACCCUUCCCAAACUUGAUAAAAUUGAAUCGGCACUUGCUUUGCAUGAGACGGCUACACUUUAUACAUCAUGUGGACAAUUGGACAUACAUGGAUAAAGAUCUCAACACAAAAUAAACUUUAACGUAAAACAAACUCAAUCCACAAGCCUUUUCUUUCAUUAAAGCCAAGAAAGCCCCUUCUCAUCUUCAAACACAGAGUAGUCUAUUUCUUGCUACCUAACUGGUGGCCUUUUUACUUCGAGCUCAUUUUUUUCAUUUCGACUGUCUUCAUUUUUGUGAACCAAAAACUCAUCACAGUUGAGAACACUCAUUCCGGACAGGUUGAUGUGGGAUUAUGUAUUAACUCUUUAAAUUUAAUUCUCGUUACAAAAUAUUAUGUAAUUUAAUUCGAUUUGACAAAACCAGGCGUGCUAAACAUAGUACAGUAUUCCAUGUUACUUUAACUCAACAAGUGAUGACUGAUGAGUAGCUUUCAGAUUAACAACACUAAUCAAUUCCAUUCUAUAUUGUAAAGGGUUAGGCACAAUCGCAAAUCCAUAAUCAUUUCAUAUACUUUGCUUCCAAAUUGAGUUUUAAUUUAACAAACAUAGCACCGUGAGAAAAAAUGACCCGCGUUUAUCGAGACACGUAUGCAAAGACAUCCACGUGUAGACGCACUGUUGGACUGUGAUAACAAGGCACUUCACAUAAACUCACCAGCUGUCACAAUUUUAAUUUUGCUUUCAUGUAAAGCAGCACCCACAGUUAUUAAGAAAUUAUUGUAACAAGAUAAGUACCGCUGCAAGCGAAAACCAGAGCCCAAGCCCCCUUCCAUUUUAAGCUCUCCCACUCCCUAGCAAAUUUCGUAACAAUUUACACAAACGGUAUCAAUCAGUGUUCUAAAAAUCGGUAACCUGACAUUUUACGGUACGUCCUUUAUGUUGGAUAACUAUACAUCAGUGUUCUAAAAAUCGCUAGUGGUCGGUUAUCUUCGGAAACUGAUAACCGGAUGGCAAUUUCGGACAUGGUAGCGGGCAGCUUGAAAACGUUGUACUUGGUGGUGAUAGCGGUGAUUAAAAUUUGUGGUUUAUUAAGCGGUCGGAAUUUCGGUGGAGUAUUUGUGCUAGUGAUAUCUACGUUGGUGGUAGGAGGCAUAUUGGUGUUAGCGCUGACGUGGGAUGUUUCUAAAAAAGCAACUUAUGUAUUGACACAAGAUGAUAGAGAUAAGGAGGCGCAUGAUGAUCAUGUAUGCCGAGGUGGCAUUUGCUGGCACGGCGUCGCUGUUAAGUCACCGGCGUCUCAGCUCCGGUUUAGACUUGGGCAACGACAACAUCAUUAAAGGCAUGGUAACAAUCCUGGUGUGUGAAUAAAGAUUAGAGUUUUUUUUUUUUGUUUUUUUAUUUGAGAUUUUGAGACUAGAUGUUAUAAGAACUUAAGUAUCUUACUUUUGUUCUUCUUACGGUUUGAAUUAAUCAUCCGUCAUUACUAUUUACUGCUUUCUCCCGUUUGUUCAUACAGAACACAUAUUCUAAUUUGAGCAUUGCAAAAGUUUUCUUCUUAUGUUUUUCGAUUAUAAAAGCGAAAAUUGAAUUAUAAGGCCCUAAACUAUUGUUAACAUUUAUUAUCUAACUACAUGAAUUAAAAAUUCUGUUUUCUGAAUCGUUUAACCCCCUCCCCCCUCCCCUCCCCUUUAAUCUAAAUUCUUUCGUAAAAAAAUCCUAACCGUGUUAUAAUUAGAAAACUAGGAUUCUAACUUCAAGUAAUUUGAAAGUGAUAACGAAAUCCAAACUUAAUAUUUAAAAUUAUUUAAAGUAAAUAUGAAAUUCUAUCAAAUUAGAAGAGUUCUUCUUCUUAUUUUUUAUUUUUUUGAAAAAGAAAGAGUUCUUGAUAGUGAAAAGCAGUCUAAUUAGAUGAGUUAUAAUCAGAAAAAUGAAAAGAAAUGUAUUAAUUAUAUUAGAGUAGUGCUAGGUGCACAUAAUUGUGUACAGAAAAUUUGUACAUAAUGAUGUGGCAGGUGAUGUGGUGGGUUUUAAUUGGGGUGGUUGGUGUAAAUGCAGGGGGCCAUCCAAUUAGAAUCCACCACAUAUCAUUAUGUACAUGUUUUUGUACACAAUUAUGUGCACCAAGCAUUUUCCAUUAUAUUAUUAUGUUAGUUAACUCAUUGCAUGUGAUUAAUAUAUUUUAGUUAAAAUUUAAUAAAACAAAAGUUGAAGAACAAAUAUUGUGGAUCUAAAAUUUAGAACAACCUAUAAUUAAUCACAAAGUUAAAAUUCGGCCGCAGCAACAACUUUAUUUUGGUUUUUUUAGCGUGUGCCCAUGGCACACACUAACAACUACUCCCUCUCUUCUUUUUUUUAACAGUCCACUCUACUCAAAUCCCAUAUAUUAAGAAAUAUUAAUUAAAAAUCAACAUAGUUUUGUAAAUCAUGAAACUUGUAUAGGCUUAUAGUAAUAAUGUCAACAUUGAAAUUUGUAUAAAAUUUGUAUCGAACAAAGAAGAAUGACAAAUAAUAUGAGAAAUUUUUUCUUGGCAAAGUGGACUAUUAAAAUGAGAAGGAGGGAGUACUUUUUACAUAGGUGGAAGAUUUUGAUUGGUGGAGAUUUUUGUCCAUGAAGGGAGCCAUUUUUAUCAACGGUUUUUCUAGUGUGUGCCCAUGGGCACAUGCUAAGCGCGGAGUUUUAUAAAUUUGGGAGGUUUUGAUUGACUUUUGCAUCUUAAUAAUAGUGAACCACCUGCAAAUGCAACAAUCACCCCAAUCAAACUUCCCAAACUUAUAAAAUUCCGCGCUUAGCAUGUCCCCAUUGGCACACACUAGACAAACCCUUUUAUUAAUGGAUGGGAGCCCAUCAAUAUUCACUAACUAGUUAAAAGGUGGUUGUUAGUGUGUGACAGAAUAUCGGUUUUGUUUUAAUCCAUCAGUAUUUUAGAGAGACUUAUUAUACAACUAACUGAAUUAUGAUUCAGUAAUUUUUGCUAUAAAUCCUCAAGACGUACGUAUCUGAAAAGAAGGGGAGACUUUCAUUGUAAUUUGGAUCAAAUACAGUCUCUCUUAGGUACUAUAUCAGCCGUUAGAUGACAUUAACAUCAACAGAACCCUACUGCAGAUCAAGCACUUCUCUAUGGCCGACUCUCAGCAGCCAGCGCCUCGACGCUCCCGCACCAGAGACAUGCAUGUCGAAUAUUGGUGUCAUCAGUGCAACAGACGAGUCAACGGCGAAACUCUCGACGAUAAUCAAGUCGUGUGCAGCCGCUGCCACGACGGUUUCCUCGUCUCCAUCGCGCCCUCUCCGUCGGCUAGCUUGGAAGACAUGCUGCAGCAGGUCAUGCAAGAGCUCCACAUUCAGAACAACGAAGGGCUCAUGAGAAGGGCUCGAGAGAUUUAUCGAGAGAGGGUUCAGAGUUCGGGAGCGGGGCGUGUGGGGAACUAUGGGGAUUACGCGGAUGAGGCUGAGUAUGAGGCGAUUUUGCUUGGUUUGGCGGAGAGUGAUGAUGGGGCGGAUAGGGGAGCACCGCCUGCUGCGGAAUCAGCUGUGGCGGCGCUGAAGAGUGUGGAGAUUGGAGCCGAGGAGGAAGGUGGGGUGUGUGUUGUGUGCAAAGAUAUGCUAAGUGUGGGCGAGACUGCGAGGGAAUUGCCUUGUGGGCAUGCUUAUCAUGGGGAUUGUAUAGUGGCUUGGUUGGCGACGAGGAAUAUGUGUCCGGUGUGUAGGUUUGAGUUGCCCACUAGUGAUCCGGAUUAUGAAGAGGAGAGGAUUAGGAAAGUUUCAGGUGCUGCUGGAGGAUCCCCGAAAGCCAGUAACUCUUUGCCUGAUGAGUAGGUAACUAUUAAAUUGAGCUAGAAUAGUUUUAUGUAAGGAUUAUCCGAGUUCUUUAUAAUUAUUUCUGAACUAAUAGUCAAAUCAUAUAUAUGUUACGUUCUAUAUAGUUUCUAGUUUGGUUUUGCUCAAGGUUCAAUUUCUUGUAGAUAUUAGUACAUUUUUGUUGUAUGCUAAGGAUGCUUGGUUUAUUCUGUUGCUUGCUGGAAAGCUGAUUAAUUUGGUUAGUUAGGUUGUUAUAUAACAAAAGGAAAUUAUUUUGUUUUCUAAGGAAGACGUGCAUGUAUUGAUGUUUGAAAUGUCAUUUUACCAGUUGUGCAUUCGAGUCCAGGCAAUUUAUCAGUUCAUCCAAAGAAAAGACUAAUGGGCAUAUCUUCUUCCUUCAUAAGAACCUCUGUCACGACAACUCUUAAUUAGAAGUAUGUAGUUGUUGUACGAGCACAUGAUAACCAUGGAAUCUUGCACCUCCAUGACUUCAAUUGUUAGUGAGCAGUAAUGGCACCUAUAUACGACUGCUCUUAUAUGCUACUUGAUGAAUGUGAUAAGUACUUUCGUUACAGCAGAACUUUCUGAACCAUGGAUUGGAAUCCUUUCUGUCUUUCCCAUAGUCUUGUCUAGGAAUUUGCAUGAUUUUAAUAAUAGAUAGGGUGCCUCCCUUAAGCUUUUCAGGAUCUGGAAAGUAUUCUAACUGGAGACUUCUUAGGAGUUGAGCAAACCACUUUGAUAUCCCGCCAAGGAGUAUCUCACUUUAACAUCUAAUUUUCAUUAAUGUGCCAGGGAAAGCCUGUUAUUCCGAUCUCUAUGUAGACCAUGUAGGUAAGCCAAGCUACUCUGACAUCCCUCCGAGGAAUAUCCUCCUUAGAGCAAUAAAUUGUCUUUUAUGUGCAAGGGCAACACCCGUAGUCAAACAUGUAGAAGAUCCUCUACAUGUUCCUAGGAUGAUCCUCACUCCUUUGUGUUGUCAAACAUGUAGAAGAUUGUUGACUUUAUAACCAAAUACAUGGAUUGAAGUGCUUUCACUUAAACCUUGAAUCCACAGGAGAAGAUAAAGAGAAAUUUUUUUAGGGGAAAAUAGUCAAGUACAACCAGCGCCAAAGAACAACUCAUUUUAGCAUUUAUGUUGUGUUUGGUCGGGGAGAAUGGAAUGAGUAAAAAUUCUUGAAACUAAUAGAGAUAGGAAGAAAGUUUUGAAAAAAAUUUGAGGGAGUGCAAAAUUGCUAUGAUGAGAUUUGAGAAGAAAUUGAGGAUAGGGGAGAAUAGUGAGAUCCAUCUCAAAUUGAAGGUGUGAUAUCUAGCAUAUGAUGCAUGGAAUGGAAUGGAGGAAAGAAUGAAAUUUCAUAAAAAUUAUCCAUAAGAUAGUUCAUUUUUCAUUUUAUUCCUUCCGGAAUCAUUCACAUCAACCAAACACAACAUUAGUUGUUGUAAUGAGCAGGGAACAUAACUCUGUCAAAUAGAGAGUAAUUAGGAGGAAGGUCUUCUAGUUAUGAUCACCGCAUGAUUUCCAAGAGAGCAUUUAUAAGCCAGUAUGCUUCUCUCAUGCCUUUCUUUGUUCAUGGUUCGAUAUGUUCACUACUCUUUAUGAUAUAACAUGAUCGUUUGGCUAACCUUAUUUUUCAGAAAUAAGGACUUAUUUUUGGAGAAAAGUACAUACGAUUCUACCUUUUUCUUAAAUAAGCCCUUAUUGUUUUGCUAAGUAACGAAUAUAAAACACCUAUUUAACAUAUAUAUCCAAAAUUUUUUUAGCAAAAACAUAUUUUUGUCAAAAAAUAAGCGCUUAAUUUUUGGAAGUGAAAUUGCCUAAACAGGCCCAAUUGUUUCUUUGUUUUCCAGUUAGCCAAGUGAAUAUUUGUUGCAUCAAGAACUUAUAUUUAUGGUUGUUGGGGUUGUUUAUACUUAAAAUGAGUAAGGAUGUGAUAAUCGUUUGUUUCAUCUUGUUCGUGAAGACCAGAAUCAGAAGUGGAUUGCAAGUUGUCCUGAUUUAUCUUUAUUCAAAAUACUUUUGGGUCUGCUCUCCUCUCAUCAAUGUUUUCACAACAUGGUCUGCAUCUCGUCAGCCGCCUCAACUUGUUCCCACCAUCAACUCGGCAUUUGAAAGCUGCUCUGAUGAGUUCAUCCCAGUUGAAUCACGACGAUUAUGAUACUGGAGUAAAGAGCGAAGAAACAGAUGAGAGUUAUGAACAUCAAGAUGAUGAUAAUGGAGAUGCUCAUGGUACUUGUAGUCUGGUGCACCCUGGUAUACUCCUCAUCAGUACCACAGAAUUAGAUACUGCAGGGAAUAUUAAAGGAACUCGAACAUGAUUCACAAAUUUAAGUGAGAAGAGAUGCACAGCCAGCAGCAGAAUCAGCCUUGGUUGCACUGAAAAAAUACAAAGACUGAAUACGAGAAAGAAGUUCUGAUUUGUCCUGUAUGUCUGUUUUAACCAAAAUUUGCAGGAUUAAAAACCAAACUUAUUUAAUUGUUAAAAAUACGGAGUAUGUGUUUUGAUGUAUGAACAUUUAGAAGAUCGAAUAAAUGAAUACUGAAAAGAAAAUAAAAGACAAGAACACAAAAAACUUUGAUAAAGCGGAAAACCUCUUAAAAAAGAUUAAAAACGCGGGUGGGGGGUGGAAAUGUCUCAAACGAAAACCUCCUAGAAAAAAGUUAAAACCGCAGGUGGAAAUGUCCCAGCCAAAUAUCCACUAUAAUGUUGAAGUAAAACAAUGUCAAGAUGAGCUCAGUUGGGGAGAGAGUGCCAAAUUACCUUGUGGGCAUUGUUACCAUGCAAAUUGUAUUGUCACUUGGUUGGCUCCAGGAUCUCCAGGAUAUUCCAACAGAUAUUCGUCUUCUUAUAGAAUUCUCAACAUGUAACAGAAGCUGAAAAGAAUACUCAUAAUGCAAUCAUAUUCAUCAAGACAUAUAUACAACAGGAACAAAAAUGCUAGCAACUUUCUGUGAUAUAGGAAGGACAUACAUUACAGCUAAUUGUAUCAUGUUGUGCACUGUAGCAACGUCCACCAAACAAGAACACAAAACAAGAAAUAUAUCAAUUUUCAGUUAUAAACAUAAUCUCUAUCUAUGUAGCAAGUAACCUCAUAAAGUACACAUCAUCUAUAAUUUCUCAGUCUUUAUUCAGUUACACUGUUUCACAGCUUCUGCCCCGUUCCAACUAAAUUCAGUUUGCUCACCCCCGAUCUUUGGAUCUAUGGCUACGCAAGCACUAGCCUAUUUCAUCUGUUCCCUAAACUCUGUAGUAGUGCGGGUGUCGAGAUAUAUAACCUUAUUUCCAUGGUGGCUGAUGAUGUUUGUAGUUGAAUGGGUAGAGAUCCCAGCCGCCAUCUGUUUCUUUACGUUUUCCACCAACACCAGAACUAGAAGUGGAUUGUGAGUUGGCCCUCAUUUGUUCAUCUAUCAAUAUUCCGUGACCAGGGUUAAAUAGCUGCCUCGUACUCGCGUCUCUGUUUCCCCUAUCCAUCAUUAAUCCAGAGUUCAGAUCUGGACCAUUUCUGGAAGGGACAAACCCAUUAUAUUCGGAGGGUGCACUAGCCAAGCUCAUAAAGAAAGAUGGCUGCGACAUGGAAGGAUGAAGAGCUGGCACAGAUCCUAGAACCUGAGGUACAACAGGGGAUCCUCUUGAAUCCAUCAUGUAAGGGAAUUGACUGCCAAGGCCAUACAUGGGUGAUGAAAAUGGUACACCAGACCCCGAUGAACGGCCAUUGUACCCAUACGUGGAAGAAUGUGCAUAUUGCGUAGAUGAUCCCAACCCCAAAUAACUGUCAUUGCUUGGCAUACUUCCAUCUAGUGCAUGUUUCACAAAUCUGCUGUUUGACAAGGGACCUGUUUGAGGAACAAUUUCGUUCUGAUUGACCUCCACCCUGGCACCCAUGAGGGAAAUAACAGACUUAUCUGGUUUAACCCCUCCAGAUCCAGAAGUACAAAAAUCUGAAGAUGACCUGCCCACUGAAGCAGGAUCCAAAUAUGGAGUAAAAAGAGAUGGUUGAUCAUUCAAAUCAAAGUUUUUCAAUGAAGGUUGCAUUGACGACGAUGAUGAGGAAGGAGAUUGACUGAAUUGACCAUGCCAAAGUGGAAGAAGCCGUGUCUCCUUCUUCCAGUUGGAUAUUGGAACAUCACUUCCGUCACCAACACGGUUUAGAUCCAGGUGCGACAAGUCAGAUUUUUUUGGACUAGUUUCCAAGGAACAUUUUUCAGAAGGACAACCAGUUGAAUUUUGGAUAUCUUUAUUUGGCGUCAACUCUGAAAUCUUAUCAUCUUCAUCCUCCGCAACAUUCAGAUCAAAGUCGAGGAAUUGCUGCCGCUGAAACAAGUUGCUACUACUCCCUGAUGCGAGGAUAAAAUUCUCUCCACCACUUACUUUGCGUGUUGGAGCAGGACGAAAAGCACUAGUUUCAGCGGAUCCUUUCCACCCAAGUGUCCCCUCAAACUGCAAAGGAGAAAGAGGCAAGCCAGAAGCCGCUGCAGCCCUUGAAGCAGAAACAACAGAGAUGGGAGCACUGACUGGGCUGAUUUCAUUAUCAUCAGAUAACAUUUCUUCAUUAAGAUCAAAACCACAUACACGUUUAUCUUUGACAGGUUCCGUUGUCUGAUCCACCUCAGUAGCCCCAGAGGGCUCAGCAUCAACUGUGCAAUUUUCCUGUUCACUAGCUUGGUUUUUGGCCUUAACAAAAGCCUCAUCUCGUACAACAGCAGAAAGAUGUGUUCCAACUGACACAUCUUUAUAAGAGUUAUGCACUCUAGAAUUUUUACCAUGUAUAGAAUCCGGGCUCUCUGCCAGCCUCAUUCUACCACCAGAUGUUCUCUCAGAAGAACUACAACUUGGUUCUCUACAGUCCACUUCUCUCUCCACCUCCAUGGCGACUUGUCGAGCAACCUCUAAUGGGUCAAACAUGCUAUACUCAAGUUCAAAAUCAGACUUCUUGUCAACAGAAUCUUUCACAUUGACUCCUGACAUGGAAAAUCCAUAAUCAUUUCCCAAAUCAACCUCAUCUUCAUCAGUAUCACUUUGAUCAUUUGAUUCUUCAAUUGCCUCAGUGUCCUCUUUCCCUGNNNNNNNNNNNNNNNNNNNNNNNNNNNNNNNNNNNNNNNNNNNNNNNNNNNNNNNNNNNNNNNNNNNNNNNNNNNNNNNNNNNNNNNNNNNNNNNNNNNNNNNNNNNNNNNNNNNNNNNNNNNNNNNNNNNNNNNNNNNNNNNNNNNNNNNNNNNNNNNNNNNNNNNNNNNNNNNNNNNNNNNNNNNNNNNNNNNNNNNNNNNNNNNNNNNNNNNNNNNNNNNNNNNNNNNNNNNNNNNNNNNNNNNNNNNNNNNNNNNNNNNNNNNNNNNNNNNNNNNNNNNNNNNNNNNNNNNNNNNNNNNNNNNNNNNNNNNNNNNNNNNNNNNNNNNNNNNNNNNNNNNNNNNNNNNNNNNNNNNNNNNNNNNNNNNNNNNNNNNNNNNNNNNNNNNNNNNNNNNNNNNNNNNNNNNNNNNNNNNNNNNNNNNNNNNNNNNNNNNNNNNNNNNNNNNNNNNNNNNNNNNNNNNNNNNNNNNNNNNNNNNNNNNNNNNNNNNNNNNNNNNNNNNNNNNNNNNNNNNNNNNNNNNNNNNNNNNNNNNNNNNNNNNNNNNNNNNNNNNNNNNNNNNNNNNNNNNNNNNNNNNNNNNNNNNNNNNNNNNNNNNNNNNNNNNNNNNNNNNNNNNNNNNNNNNNNNNNNNNNNNNNNNNNNNNNNNNNNNNNNNNNNNNNNNNNNNNNNNNNNNNNNNNNNNNNNNNNNNNNNNNNNNAUAACUUUGAUCAUUUGAUUCUUCAAAUGCCUCAGUGUCCUCUUUCCCUGACAAAUUAGUAGUUAGAUCCUCAUUCUUUCCAAGAUCGUGUUUACUAAAACUAGAAUCUUGCAAAACGUCAACCGGAGCUGUACUGUUAGACACUGAUAGUUUACUGCAAGGAUAUGAAGACCUACUAUCCCCCAUUUCACCUUUCCCCUCGGACACCUGUUUUCUAGCAUCGCCAUAAGAAAAUAAUUUUGGAGAAGGGUCUUCUUUUUUGGCAUCAAAAUCUUUCUCCAUGUUGGCACCUACUUUAGACUCCACAGUAUUUGAGGAAUCAGCGCCGAAGGAAGAGUCUGUUGCACCUAACUUGUCACAGCUUUUGAUCUGUGGCAACUGUUUUGCAUCAUUAUCCUCGUUUGGGUUGGCAACAUCUAGAUGUCUCUCCAGUGUUCUUUGCUCAGGAACGGCAGAUCCAGAACUUUCGAUUCCUGUUGAAUCUGAUAUAUGUGUUGCGGGGUUUUCCAAAACAGAACUGAUCCCACUGAUAAGCUUCGAUGUAUCAGUGGAGUGCCCAGGAUCUGGGGAGGCAUGGUUUGAACUUUUAUCUAAUGGUUGGACAGUUGACUCCACAAUUCCAUCAGGGUGCACAGCUUCUGGACAUAUUUCUGGUUUCACUUCAUCUACAGAUGGUUCUGCAUUUUUUUCUUCACUAUUAUUACCUCCAGAGUUAGAUAUAUUUAGUGAAGAACAUUCUGGCUGUUCACGUUUACUAUCAGGAUUUUCAUUUACAUCCUCAAGGUCAUGAUGAUCAUCACAUACCUUCUCAUCUAUCUCAGCAUCAUCGGGAACCACAUUACUCUCGUCAUUCUGCUUCCAGCUAUCAAGCAAAGCUUUGGCUUUAUCGUGAACUAUAGAGCUUUUGUUGGUGAGAAGAUCUUUAACUGUGUUCAUGAUGCCAGAAGUAACUGACUUCUGCUCGUCUAUAUGCAGCUUCCCAGUUGCUACUAACAAUGUAGCAAGUAAUUCUUCGACAAAGCUAUCACCUGUUUCUUUAUAAUACUUCUGCCCAUCUUUAAGCCAAGUAUCAAAAUAACAGAGUCCGUCUAACUGGAUAAAGAGAGCAAGACAAUCCUUACUAUCAGUAGUUGCUAUAGUUCUUGCAACAGUAUACCACUGUCUACUUGCAUCACCGACAUUCUUCACUAUAUUGUGUUUGUCCUUUUGCAUUACAUUUAUCAGCUCCUUCAUUCGAGCAGGAGCUGACAACCCAUUUUUCAUCUCGGUCAAUGUAAAAAAGUCCUCGAGAGUCAUAUUUUGCAUAGCAAAUCUACCGAGAAUUCAUGUACAAGGCUAGCUUAGUUUCUUUCCUGCAAAAGACACAGAGAGCAGAUGAAUUGUAUGAUUUAACAGCUCAAUACUCUGCAAAGAUCACACUGAAUUAGUCUACAAUAUUGUUGUAGGAGACUAGGAGCAACAGUGUCAUCAAGGUUGCGCACAAGAAGAAUAUAAGUAUAAACAUCCCGAAAUUCAGACAUGCUACAUUCUAGUUAGGAAAAUGAAUGACUCUCUAUGUUGGACCACUUAGCCAUUUGGGUGGAAGAAGUCCUCCACUUCAGGCCAAUCGAAAAAUGGACAGAGAAAAGAUUGAUUGAUAAUGUUUGUUUGUCCACUUGGCCAUUUAGGUGGAAGAACUUUCCGACUUCAGGCACAUCAAAAAUUGAACAGUGAAGAGAUUAAUUAUUACUGUAUGCAUAGCUGCAUAAAGUUUCUGAUAAUAUAGAUAUUAUGACAUAUAUUUGAUGUUUCUACUAUGACUUAACUCGAGAGGGAUACAUUUCUUAAUGAUGAAUAUGACUCCUAGCAUCCAAGUAGAUUCCAGAGUUAAAUUUGUAGCUCACGUGCUACUUUCAGCUUGUCAUUAAAACCAAUAUAUAUACUGCACAUACUCUAUGCAAUACCACCUUCUCUUUUCUCGACCAACAUGUCUCAUGAGAGAAGAAAACAGCCGAGUAAUUUCAUAAUCAUUGCAGGUUUGGAGAAAACUCCAGAAUAUAAUAAUGAUUAGUGACAAGGUCAACGACGGGAAAAAAUAAAUUCAAUUAGUUGUACUAGUGAACAAAAUGUACAUCAUACACAAGAUAUUAUUACUCCUGCCUUCCAAACGCAUCAAAUGUCUACAAGAAGUAUAAUUAUGAUAUUCGAUCAGCUAAAUAAUUAUAGGUUCAAUCCAUUUUAUAAGUAGGUCAGUAUCACAUGCAAGUCAUGUAAGAACAUGAGAUCUGCUUAUUUCGCUGUUGUUUCCGAAAUCACGUCACUAAAUAUCGAGACAAAUAUGAGACUACAUCCAAAUAUCUAUACAAGUCCAAUAGAAGCUUGGUUGUGUAUAAAGCCGACAAUACACAUACAAUCUAAAGACAGAAAGCAAAAAUUUAAUCGUAUGCAAAGUGUGCAAUAAUACAAUCUAGUUCAAUACUAAUAAUGCUUUAGCAACAAGACAUUGUGUUGCCAGUAGUAAGAGAAAAUGAAGAUGAUAUUUUAACUUCAUCUAUAAGCACACAUGAAACAUGAUUUAUACUUUAGGAGUACUAAGGCAUAGAUCCAGAUAUUAUGAUGAUACUCAAGAAAAUGAAUAUGUCCAACUAGCUCUAAGUAAGGUGCUUUCUAUUCAGAAUUGGUAAUCCAGGAUAGUAACAGGAUCCCAUAAACUCAAGGACUAAGAUCUGACAAUAUUUUCCACCAUGCUAAUGGAAACAAAACUGCAAAGGUUUGCUGAAGUUCACAGAUAAAAAUAUGCCAACUAAAACGUAAUUUGUAAACACUGUCAUUUAAAACGAGAGUCUGGUGUCCGAGUCACCUCACCUCAGGCAAGCAAGGCGAGGUUUGGGAACCUGGCCACACCUCUUGCCUAAGCUUUAACAAUACUGCACAUAAAUAUGUCCUCAAGACUAUAAAAGAACCGAAUCGAUGAUGCAAAGCAUUUAGUUAUAAACUAAAACAGAGGAAUACAACCAAAACAAAAAACUACAAAAUUGCAUUGAUAAGCGUCAACCAUGACCUAAAAAUUGUUUUUGAUAGUAAAUUACCAAUUGUUUAAUGUCCCCUCGCCAGAACAAUCUUAACUGCAGUCUUUCCGGCAAGGAAAAGGUCAAAUCCUGAAAACAACAAAAAUUCAAAUCACAAAUAGCAACACAAAAACUCUCUAGAAUCUAAACAACACUGCACAUCAACCAAAUUAUAAAUCCCAAAAUAGUCUAAUUCAAAAAAACCCAAAAAGGGAGAUUGCUAUAAGCUCAUCAACCAAUCAAAUUCAACACCGCCAAAGAGCUAAGAAUCAAUAAAAUAUCAAAAAACCAUAACCCCAAAACUCAAAUUGAAAGAAAACAAAUCCAAAUCAGGAGCUCAUCAGCUACAAUUGACCAAAAUGUGAAAAAAAAAUCAAGAAAACACAAAAUCAAGAUAAGAUACACAGAAUUACAUGAAAAAGAUGCAGCAAGAUUGAAACUUUAAGGAUUUAAUAGUAGCCCAAUAAAGAAAAGAGAGAAAUUGAGGUGUAAUUUAGUACCUGUCUGGGAAGAAAUAAAACCCUAAGUGAAGCUUAACGGAAAAGAGAGUAGCAUUAAACCCAACAGCUGUCUUUAGUUUUGACAAAACUAAAAGUAACCCCUUUUCUUAAUCUAUACCAUAAUUACUGUUUGGUCUCUCUGUUUGUAUAAAACAUAUGUAUACAUAGGAACUACUUGUGUUUCUUCUGUGUGUGAAUCUAACAGCAAAAUUUGGUCUCUGCUUUUACAGAAGCUCUUCUAUGUAUGAGAAAUGGUAAUACUUUUUACUUAUAUCUUCCCAGCCUGUUCUUUUCUUAUUUAAUUUUUAAUUUAUUACUAUAUUAAUCAUUUUCUUCUCUUUUGCUUAUGGUCAGUUGUUGUCUUGUUCAUUGUGCAUAUGCACGUGCCAUAUCGAUAGUCUUUCCUAGCAUCAGAUGAUAUACCAAUUUUGAUUUGACCGAGAUAAAAUGACAAAUUUUGACUAAUAAAUAUAUAUUAUAUUUAUCAUAAAAUUUUAAAAAUAAUAUAAUGAAAAAUUAUAUUAUAUCCAUUUUAAAAUAUAUAUUUCAAUUUUUAAUAAUCAUAAUAAAAUAAUUUUUUAUUUAUAAUAAUAAAUUGAUCAAAUUGACUUUUGAAAAAUUAAAUGAAAUUGUUAUUUUGAAAUUUUAAAAUGAAGAGAAUACUUUACUUUAAUAAAACUCCUGAAUUUAAUGUUAUAUUUUAAUAACUAUUGGGUCAUGGACUCAAGAUUUUGCAAUGGGAACUAGGGCUGUAAUUCGAGUCGAGCCGAACCCAACUUUAAUCGAGUCGAGCUAAACUGGCUCAUUUAAUUAAACAAGCUGGAACUUUUACCGGAAUUCGGCUCGUUUAACGAGUCGAGUCGAGCCAAGCCCAGUUAAACGAGCUCAACCCGGGCGAGCUCGCGAACAACCCGACUCGAAUUACAACUCUAGUGGGAACUAAAUAUUUAGCAUAUGAAAUUUUGGUAGUAAAUUCGUAAAUAUAAAAACUAUUUUUCUUCAUACUUUUCUUCAAGAAUAUACUUUGUAAAGCUUAGUAUCAUGUUAAAUAAAUCGAAAAUUAAUAUGUUUUCUUGUUGAGAUUUAAUUAUUCAGUAAUAACGUUAUGCGACUCAAAUUAGUCAACAUUCUUAAACAUAGAACAAGUAUGCUUUCACCGGUUCAAAAUUAUAUUUUUAGAAAAUAUGCAGUUAAAUUACUCCAAUUAUAAUAUAAAAAAAAUACUUUAUUAUUCUAAGAAACUUCCGUACACAAGAUGCUUUGGAUAUCCUGUCCAUCAGCCGGAAAGGUACGACAGAAUCUUGAAAUACAAAACAUAGAAGAAUACAGCUAAGAAGGCUAAAAUAGGGUGUAAUGUGUAGGUAAUUACAAGAACACUGCUGAUUAUUCUUCCUUAACUUGCACUCACAUGAGAUUAGAAAACAGUAAACACAUAUAUUCUGUAAGACUGUCAUUUAUAGUAAAGCGGACAAAGAAGUGACUACUGACUGGUAAUAAAAGCAAGGAUGGAGUGUAGCUAGGAGUACUAGUAGUAAUUUUAUCAGAGUUCAUGAAUCCAAAGAGAAGAUUUAAGUGUACGGAUGACCACUGUUUGGACAGUUUAUGGUACAUGCUAUAUAUAGCUACAUCUGACUUCUGAAGUCUGAACUGCUAUCACAAGAUUUAUCAGCUCCAAAUUACUAUACUAAAAAUUUAAAGUUUGUUUUGGGCUUUGUUUAUUUUUGAACUAAAGAAGGCCCAAAUCUUGAAGUUUAUAGAAGGAAGCCCACUACCUUCUACUUCUACACAGAAGCUCACUGAGCCCACAUGUAGAUCAUGACCAAUGCAUAACAUUAUUCAAUCUUGAAACAGAAGUCUACCUGUCAAUAUUACAAAAGGACAUUCUGUUCAUUCACAAGGUUUUACAUUUCCUGGUGUACAGGAACUUCACUCUGAAAGAAACAAAGCUAGCAUAAAAAAUAAUCUUGAAUGAAUUUAUCUAUGCAACUGAUAAACUCGGGUUGAAAGAUAUCCGCACAAUUCUUGAAAGGGGACAAGCAGGCAGCAAGAAGUAGAAUAAAGGUCUAGGGAAUACAUGACUAUUGAGUCUUUAAGAUGAAGUUCUCCACUGCAGCUCAAUCUGUACUGUACCAUUCUUUGAAUCAAUAAGGUGGUACCUCUCGUUGAUUCUCUUGUUGCUGAUCACAUCUGCAAGGGAUAUAUCCACAUAUCCCAGAGUAUCCUACCACCAUAAAAUAAAAAAAAUUAUGACUAGAUAGUCGGCAGUUCUGUACCAGCAUUUGUAGCAUCUUAAAUUUAAUACAUGUCCAAUUAUACUAUGUAAUAAUUGCAUGAUGAAAGCUAAUACUGUUAGGGAACAGAAAGGCCGGUGAAUUAAUUCCAUUAGCAUUAUGUGAUUGUAAUAACUACUCUAGAUAGUUUAAAAUUCUGAUUCCUAAUAUGAAUAAGGAGUGCUAUCUGAAUUUGAUUACACAAGUUUUACUGAUAAUCCAGAAUAACUAUGAUAAUUUUAUAAAUCUUGUGUUUACCUUGGGAUAUAAAAGUCCCAUUCUUUUCGAAGUACUGACAACUUCUACAUGUAUCCUGUCAUUAGUAGGCGGCUCCUCCAGCAUGAAUUGAAACUCCUCAUCCCACCUUGGAUCUCUGUUUUUCUUUACAACCUAAAUAAUACCAAAACAUAAUCAAAAUUAUAUAAGUGUAAAGCUCAGUAGGAACAUGCUACUAGGUACUUCUGCAAAGACUAUGGAUAUUCUAAAUUAGAAUGGAUGAGGCACAUGACAAGCUGUUUUGAGAGUCGACUCCCGUAGCUAGGAAUCUAGCUGCCACUUCUCCACUUUUCAGAUCUUCAUCCCUCUUACUGGUUAAUCUCCCUCCGUUUUCCCAUCCUCUCUUUACCAGUUUUUCAAUAAAACCGAGAUCCAAUCUUUUUUGAAUGAGAUCUUGUUGAGUACCUUGUUAUUAAGGUUGGUAGUCAUGCCCUUCCUUUUGGGAUGUUAAUAUGUUAUGUUUUGAUACUUUUGUGUGUCUUGGUACAGGUACAAUAGUUCUUCAGAGAAAGAUUUAUAUGAUAUUUUGGGAGAUAUAUAAGACUCGUAUCGAUUCUAGGACGGUGGAUACCACAGAAUCUCACCUUUCACAAUAGAUUUUUUCUUCAUAUUUUGGGGGCAUUUGUUGCUCCAAUAUUAGUUGAUGUAACUGAUAAACAUUGGGCUACAGAUGACGUUCAUGUGAAGGUCUAUUGCGAUGCUACUAGUUUCACAGCUGAUGUAGGUUGGAUUGCUCGAGAAGUCAUUGUAAUACUUUUUAGAUCAAAAAAUUUGGAUAUUUUAUGUGUUAAUUAAGCGAUCUAAAAACAAAACAACAAUUUGUUUAGCUCGUUCUUUGUUUCACAAUCAAUCAGGUUGUAGUUGACAGUUCGGCAGUUUGUCCUGGCAGGGAUCCGAUGCUUGUUUUAUCUUUAAUAAAACCAUUUGUUUGUCAAAAUGAAAUAAAAUGGAUGAGGCACAAGGUUAACAUUGUAGUCCACAUCCGAAAAUAUUUCAAAGCUAUUGGAUUUAAAAAUUACCUUUGUUCUCCUUUCUUCACCUCUGAACAAUAACCGCACAGAUGGAUUUGUGUGGUGUUUUCCUUCAAGAUCUUGACCUUCAUGGACGAUAACUACAAGCAGCCCACCUCCAUCAGGAGUUCCUUCAGGAGCCUUUUGAACCUCAGAAUCUUCAGCAUCAUCUGGUUUCUCAUCAUCACUAAACGGUCUGUACAUUGCUUCAACAACAAGCUGACCUCGUGAUUUUUCAUUUUGAGAGUCGUUGGGGUCCAAGUUUUUUAACAAAUCAAGAGUCAGAGCUUUUGUCUCUUCAGGUGUAAGGUCUUUCACAUGUACCACAUUCAUACCCAUCUUUUCGUGCUUUCCAACCUAAGUACAGCAAUGAUGAGUGAGUAAAACCAUACUUGUGUAACUCAGAUAGAUAUAUUUUGAGUAAUAAUAUGUAAAUAUCUGCCUGAGGAAUUUAUUAUCUUCAUAUAACUUAAAUAAUGAGAAAUACGAACUGUCAUGCACAAAACUUGGCAACUGUAAACCACAUCCCGAAUCCAAGCGUGAGAUCUGGUGGGGGGGGGGGGGGGGGGGGGGGGGGGGGGGGGGGCUCCACUGAAAGCUAAUCAAACACGGUCUUUCAGGGUAACUUAUUUGGGGGGAAAUCAGUAGCAGUUAAAAGACUUUCUAAAAGGUCUGGUCAAGGGAUGGAAGAGUUGAGAAAUGAAACAGUUUUAAUUGCUAAACCCCAACACAGGAAUCUCGUUAGACUCUUGGGAUGUUGUAUUGAACAGGAUGAGAAGAUUCUAAUUUACGAGUACAUGUCCAACAAAAGUUUGGAUCAUUUCAUUUUUGGUUAAGUGGUGAUAAAAUUGUUUGGUUUAUUUCCGUUAUAUUUGUUCUAAUUGGCAUGANNNNNNNNNNNNNNNNNNNNNNNNNNNNNNNNNNNNNNNNNNNNNNNNNNNNNNNNNNNNNNNNNNNNNNNNNNNNNNNNNNNNNNNNNNNNNNNNNNNNNNNNNNNNNNNNNNNNNNNNNNNNNNNNNNNNNNNNNNNNNNNNNNNNNNNNNNNNNNNNNNNNNNNNNNNNNNNNNNNNNNNNNNNNNNNNNNNNNNNNNNNNNNNNNNNNNNNNNNNNNNNNNNNNNNNNNNNNNNNNNNNNNNNNNNNNNNNNNNNNNNNNNNNNNNNNNNNNNNNNNNNNNNNNNNNNNNNNNNNNNNNNNNNNNNNNNNNNNNNNNNNNNNNNNNNNGGAGCAAGGGAGAGAGUACCUGACCUGUUCCCAAUCAUACACAACAAGCUCUAAAGCCUGAGAUUCUGGGUCCUUGACAACCAGAUUAAAUUCUUCGUUCCAUUCAGGGUUUAAGUUCUUUUGUUUCACAGUUGUUUUCUUUGAUGGCAGUUUAUCCUCAGUAAGUUUUAAUUUAACAUAUGGAUCUGAAGCUCCCAAAAGAUCUUUUUUCUUAAGCUUCAUUGCCCUAACAACCUUUACAUUGAGGAUUCCAACAGGUCUCUGCAUGGCCCUGACAUAUGGAAUGAUGUUCAACUAGUUGGCUGGAAAAGCAAUAUUUUGUUAAUCAAACAAAGAAAAACAUUUUUACUUACUUGGCAGGAUCCAUGAUCUGCACUUCAAGUACUUUGGGCCAUAGAUACAUAUUUGCAACCUGAUCCUUGAUGAUUUCCUAGACCAAGAUUAUACAAUGAGUCACACUAACAAUCUGGGGAGACUCGGCAAGUAAGAAACAGAAAAUUGAUAUUGACAAGUUCAAGGAGAAUUAUACUUGUACAGUAAAUAUCACGAUAUACUUUGUACAAAGAAGUGUUCCUGAAUUCAGUACAGGGAGCAUGAGCGUGAUAAAGAACCAUAGCAUAAAUGUAAUAUUUGAGCAUAUCUACUCGUGGAAGGGUUGGAACUGGAAAUAAGUAAUUACUGGUAGAUAAAAUUCUCAAACUACGAGUGUAAAGUUGUGAAUGAAUUAAUCAUUUUGGGAUUCUAUAUCACCAUAUCACCAAUCCAUAAUUUUGAUCAUAUUGUAAGGAUUGUGGUCAUUAAAUGGCCUCUAUGCUCCAUACUUAAAAUAGCAAGAUAAUUCCAUGAAACUUAUUGUAAGACUUUUGUCAUCAUAGCAAGAAAAAAACAAGGAGUCAGUAAAUUAUCCGAUCUUUUGUUCUUUCUAUAUUAAACUAGUAACCAGCAGUUCUAAGGACAUAAGAAGAAUUCCAAAGCUAACUAAAUAACAUACCUGGACAAAGCUAUACAGGCCCGGGAUGGACAUAGCAUCUGCUCCGAGCAGCUUCAGACCAAAGUCAACAUGAGGCUGAGGGAUUGAAAAUUAAAGAUAAUGCAUGAGAGACAGGAUAGUUUGUCAAACAUGUGCGGAUCAUAUACAAUGACAAAGCAGAAGUAAUACUGAUUUCUAAUAAGAAAAUCAGCGAACAAGCAACAACUAUAUAUACACGUGCUAUGAAGAAAGGACAUAACAAAAUACUAGUAGGAGGAUCUGUUAAAUCCUAAAAAGGAAUAUUUUACAGAAAGCGUGUUAAGACUUUUUAGGUUGACAUAUACUAGUAAAGGUUAAAUAGUACAUUCCUCACCUUUUCCAUAAGAGACACUAAUAUUUUUGCAAAACAAGGGAAAGAGGGAACCAAUGGCUUCAGGGUGAUACGUGGAGAAGCAAAUACUUGCAAGUCAACCACCUGAAACACUCCUAUGUAAUCAGAAUUCACAAUAAUAUGUGGAAGAAAUGUGAGUGAGUGAGAGAGAGAGAGAGAGAGAGAGAGAGAGAGAGAGAGAGAGAGAGAGAGAGAGAGAGAGAGAGAGAGAGUCAGAGAUUUGAAGCAAGACUUUAUAUAUUAGUGUUUUCCAUACUCUUCCCAGCAAGUAAUUGAGUUCAAUAGAAAUAUAUUGAGACUACCUGAACAGUGGCCUUCAAGCCAAAUGCCUUAGCUACUACAAGGACGUUUGGAUUUCCUGCCCACUUCAGCGUUGGUUCCAUGAUCAAUUCCUUCUCUUCAGUACUAUAAACUUUCAUUCCUGACAUGGAAUGGUAUGGCUUUAAUUAAAGGGGAAUGACAAAAAUAUAGAAUACUUUUAAGGUAUCAAGGAGGGACAGGGGUGAAAAAGAUGAAGCACAUAAUGUAUGCAGUACCGGAAGGACUACUCAUAUACAUACUAUCAGCAGUGACUUGGCCACUUCUACUUGCCUAAACGUCACCAUAUAUACUAUAUAGGCCUGUAAAUUUAUUUAGAAUAGGCAUUUCACUCAAUACAAGGUCAUUAGAUCAUCAGAUAGUCCCUAUUUCUAAGUUUUCUGUCAAAACUGAUGUUCAUUAGUUGUUCAGUGAAGAUAACUAAAGCAUCAUUGUAAAUGAAUAUUAGAUGUACCCAUCUUUUAAACGUAGAAGACCCAACUUCAGUAAAAUGAUCAUUACUAAUCUAAGUUCUAUAAGCUGAUGCUAGUAAAAGGAUUUCAAGCUUGGUAACAGUUUCUUAGUCAUUCAACCUAGCCAUCAAAUGUCCUUGGUCACUAAUCAAGAUUUUCUGGGGGCUGGGGGCCUUUAUUGAGAUUCCUUAAUGAUUCCAGAUAUGUGCUAUGGAACAACCUCAGAACUCCCUUUUCGAAGAAUAUAAAUAACUUGCACAGUUAUGAGUACCAACGAGUUUCGAAGUAAUGGUAAACAGCCAAUUAUCAGAUAGAUACUUAAACUCGGCCUUGAAGAAAAUGUGGUACAUGGUGGGUACAUGAUGCGACUGUGCAUCUACAUGUGUGUACAUAAAACAGAAAAUGAAGAGUAAACAGCCUAACCUGUAAAAGCAGGUGGUAAGCAUCCCAGAGAAAGGACUUCAAAUUGAACUGAAUCAAUUUUGUACUGAGGAAUCUGCUCAGCAAUGAUGGGGUCUACUAUGGUUUUCACUUGCUUACAAAUUGCCUGCAUUUGGUCAUCAGAACCUACCUUAAUAGAGUCAAAAGUAUUGAAAACCAAAAAGAAAAAAUAAGCUAACAGUACCUUGUCUAAAUAAGGCCACAUUUUCUCGAUGAAUUUAUUAAGCCAAUCAAUCUGCACAUAAAUAAUAGAGAAAUUGAUUGUCAAAUACAGCAUUAUAAUCAGAUGAUCCAUUUACAAAUGCGACUAACAAGCUAUGAUGCUUAAGAAUAACACUACUUAUAACUGUUUCAGCAGAUACUCAUGUCCAGAAGCAUACACGGUCAUGGUCUGGAUUCUUCACCCACACUGGUAUCUCUUGAAGCAAACUUUGCAGAGUUUCUGCAUCAUGUUCAACCAAGGGACGAAUAACAGGGUCCUAAACAAAGCAAAAUUCAAAAAAAUUAAAAUCAUAUAAACAAAGAAGUGCAAAGUUAUCCCAUUAGAGAAAAAGCUGUUGCAUAGUCCACAAACAAUAUCAUUGUGUCAAAAAUAUCAACUGAAACGCUUAGCAUAAAAAACAAACCGACAAAUCAUCAAGCUUACUACACAUAACCAACCUAUUAUAAUCAACACUAAACAAGCUAUAAUCAUUGAGGUAAUUAUCCAACACAUUACAAAGACCUCAUAUAUAAUCUGUCUACCAAGGAACAUACCAGAGAAAAGACUAGAAAAAUCACAAAACUACAAUAUAUGUUUCAUAACACAUUAUAAUAAAGAUGAUAACAAGCUGAAGUGUACAAUAAAAACAACAAAAUACAAAAACAAAAGAGAAAAGACCUUGACAUGAGUUGAUUGGAAGUAGAUAAAAAGGUAAUAGCCAACUAAAAGGCCAAGAGAAAUUCCCAUUCCAAACCCAAUAAAACCAGUUAUGGUACUCACUAUACCCAUCCUCAACCUUCUUCUUGAUCACCAAAAUAUUAUUACACAACUGAAAAACCAGAAAACCAAACAGAACCCACAAUUCUCUGACAAGUGUAUCACAAUCUCAACAACCCAAAACUCAGAAAAACAAAAAGAACAAAUCUAAAUAUCCUAAAAUGUACCAGCCCAUUAUUCAAGUAUCAUACUUUCUGUGUAAGAAAAGGCAAAAACACAAAUUUUAAACCAAAGGUGGUUCCUUUAGGCAAGUAUGUGAGAGAGAAAGAGAAGCAUCUUUUUGGGUUGUGAGGAUGAAAAUGGAAAGAGCAUGUGUACAUGGUAAUAGAAUAUAGUUGUUAUAAUUAUGGAAAGGCCCCAUUGCUAUUGGAUCCAAGUAGAACGGAACGGGGUUCAUAUGUUGACACUCAAGCGCCUAUACGUAUAUAGUGUAGAUAUAGAUAUAGUGUCGGUAAACUCGGCUGUGAAUUCGUCCAAUUGGCAACUUCUGCAUUUUUAUUAUUCAGCAUAAAGUUAUGGUGAAUUUACAUGAAGGACAACAAAAGGACUUCGUCAGAAAUAAAAUUCGAUAAAAUAUAAAUCAUAGGAUAAUAUGAAUCUAACUUAUAAAUAAAAUAAUAAUUUUAAUAUUUGUUAAAGUUGAGAGAUAUUCACGAUUAAUUAAUAAUUAUGUUUAAGAUUAUAUAUCACAACUCCAAACAUGAAAAAUUCUUAGUUAAAAGGUGAGUUGACACAUCAAAUUUAAAAAAUAUUGAUAAACUUUUGAAAAUAUUACACUUCAGCCAUAGUCUUCCAACCAUAGUCUCUCCUUAUUAUAAUUACUAAUAAUUACUAGUAACCCGUGUAAUGCAUGGAACCUUUUUAAUUGUGUGAUAAAAUUUUAUUCUUAAUAUAUUUAAAAUGAUAAAAAAAUUAUUUAUCAAUAAUAAAUCAUAAUUUCAAAUUAAAUAAAAACAAAAUAUGACAUUAUAUUAUUUUUAAGGCAGAACUAUUUGUGCCGUACUAACAUCUAGUCUGGUCCUUUUGGUCACCUCUUAAUUUUAAACUUUGUCUUUGUUUAAGUAGCAUUGUUAUGUUGUUCGCAACAUCGUUUAUUAUGAUCAGCUCUUUGUUAUUCUUUAUGUGUCUUUUGAAAUGUUUUUCUAUGAAAUCGUAUGCUCGGCUUUUAUUCCUCUGAUAUAUUCAUAUUUUGAUAUUAACAAAAUUUUACGAAAUGAUUUUUACAAAAAUGAGAGGAGAAAUUAGUAAGCUUAUGUAAAGUGAUUUACGUUCAAGAUCUUGGCCAGUUGUAUAUUUGAAAGAUUUUGGUGUCAUCCCGGAUGUUGAAGAUUCUACCAUGUAUAAUAUUUUUUGUUAAUUUGUAUUUGUAUGAAGAAUUUUGUAUGUUAUAUCAAAUUCUAUUAUGAUAAUUUCACGUCUUUCUCUUUUUUUUUUGUUGAUAUGUAUUUGUGCAGUAGGUUCUAUAUUAAAUGACGUUUUGGUCACUCAACUGACCGGAAACUUGCAAUUGGAUCAUCCAACUCAAAAAACUUUCAGUCACAUGAUAUGUAUUUGUGCAGUAGGUUCUAUAUUAAAUGACGUUUUGGUCACUCAACUGACCGGAAACUUGCAAUUGGAUCAUCCAACUCAAAAAACUUUCAGUCACAUCAUUAUACUCUUAAAAAUUUCAUUCUGGCCGUUAAACUUUUUUAAAAUUUGACGGAAAGGUGACUAAGCGUGGUGACUUGACUUAAAUAAAUCCACCGUGACAUGUACAAGUGGCAUUUUGGUCACUCAAUUGACUACAAACUUGCAAUCGGAUCAUCAAACUCAAAAACAUUUUAUUUAGGUCAAAAGGAAUUGUGAUUACCCAUGAUUGAAUCCACUCACCUUAAAACCCUAAUUGUAGUGUGUUUUGGGGUCAAUGAAUUAUUAGUAUUAUUUGGAUUAAAAAAGAACAAUUUAUAUUUACAUGAAAUUAAGUCCCCAAUUUCUGAAAUAAAAGCUACUUAGACUUCUAAAUGAUUUUGAGGGCUUGAAAUAAUUUUUGAAACUAAAAAUAAAAAUCAAAAUUAACAAAAUUAUUUAGCAAUUUUAAGUCAUCCAUAGAUAUAAUAUAAUUUA